rnacentral:lncRNA from 1 species
UACAAGUUAUAACCAACCAACCUGUUCCCCGGCGGAAGAUAAUUAUUUGGAAUAAUCCAGUAAAAAUCCCUUAAUACGAGUGGACCUUUCUUCCACUUAUUCGUUGGGUGGAGCAAAAGUCACAACUUGUCCACAAAACAACUUUUCAGCAUUCACACCAUGAUUGCACUUCAAUCUUCAUUCAAAUUAAUUAUUCACUAAUCCAGACCAGACCUGACACUAUUUUGCUUAUGCAUUCAUUUGACAAAUUGACAUCCACCUCCUCCAAGAUUACAACUUUUUCAUCUUCUUCGUUUUGGUGGCCGGACGGAAAUUACAAACCCCAAAAACAACAACAGACUUUCAAGUAUCGGAGAGGGAGUGGAACAGAACAAAGAUGCAACCUUGUUGCUCAAGAGAAAUUAAUCAGAUCAAAGUAACAAACUUUAUAUUUCUUCUUCUAUAUAUUUGUUUUAUUUUCUUGAAAGAGAAGAUGGAUCAAAAUCAAAUGAUUCACAUCAUCAAAUUACUUUCUACACAACACACAAUUACAACCAACAACUACAACGGACCAAUCCCAACUCAAAAAUACAACAACAACAACAAUAAUAACAACCAAAUUCCAAUUUUUUUUUUGUUCAACCAAUAAAAAAAGGAAGAAAAAAAAUCAAAGAAGACGAAACGGUUAGUAACUGAGCUUAUUGUACGUUGUCAUUUGGAAGCGAGUCCCAAAGGCUGCGCAACGGAUGAAGCCUGGAGAAGGCGUUGGGCCUGAGAGAGCUGGUUCAUGAGGGCCAGAAUCCGAGCGUGAUCUGUACGAGCCUGAUCGACGGCCUCCGCUUCGAGCUCACCGAGCUGUGAGCAGAGCCGCUCCUCUGCCUCCUCGGCGACUCUUAGCCUCUCACGGGCCUUCUGCAGCUCAGCCUUCAUGCGCUCCUCUCUCUCCUGGCUCUUUCUCAGCUCUAUCUCCAGCUCCUCGUUCCUCUUUCUCAGCAGUUUCUCUUCUUCAACCUCCGGCACUUGCUUUGUUACCGCCAUUUUUGUUUCUUUCUUUGGAAUUGGAAGGCUUACAACAAAGUGUUGUUGCAGAGUAUGUCUGGUGGUGGGGUUUAUAAAGGGCAAAAACUGUGUGUCCAGGUUCAAUGUAUCUACCUUGCUUUCGAAUUUGUGAUUCUGCUUACGCCCUUGCAUCUGUCAUUUAACUCGUUCGUUGGUAUUUGACAACUCUUUUUCCCUUAUUGUUUUUCACUUGGCAUCUUCCUUCCAUAUCGUCAUUACCCAACUAAUCAUGUCGCGCCUCGUUUAAUUAGAGUGAGCAUUUUUCUCUCGCUAUUAUUCUCAACACUAAAAACGUGUAUAUGGACAUAACAAUAGUUUUACAAAUACAAAAUAAAUAGUUAAUUAUAGUUAUACCUAUAGAUAGACGCGUGUGAAAUGUUAACAAGAAUGUUAAAAAUACACCUUAAAUUAAAAUGGUGAGCAAAAAUAUUUUCUUAAUUAUAUAUAUAUAUAUAUAUUUUUAACUUUCAUCACUAUAAUUAAUUAGGAGAUUGAGAUGAGGCGACUUUUUAUUUCUAGAAAUAAAUUGCUGAUCUAAUGCAGGCUGCGCGUUGUAUUAAAAAAUUAAAAAAUUCAGUUGAUUAAUGUCAAUAUAGGUGACCAAAUUCUCGUUGUUUUCACACAUAUGGCAUUGUUUAUUGACCAAUGACCCAAUCAAGAAAAGUUUUGAGCUUGUUUGGGUUGGUCUUUAAUUAACCUAGGAGUAAAUAAAAGGCAAAUCAAUAAAAUCGAGAAAGCAAAUGCCCGACAAGAUGUGUGGUGGUAACUAACAAAACAAAACAAUACUAUGUCUGUGAAAUGGAUCCUUGUAGUGGGUAAUUAUUGGACAAAGGAUCGUGGCCUAUCGAGGUCGCAGAAGACGCACAAGUGGGUGGCCCGUCCUAAUCUCCUAAAGGUUGGGUCACACAUUACAAAGUACAUCAAGAGCCAUAACUUUUUUAUUUUUUGGAGAUUCGAAUAUGAGAUAUUUUUUUUCAAAUUAAGGCCAUCUUUAAUUAUGGACUAUAAGUCAAAUACGGACAUAAAAUAAUGCAAAAUUCAUCUCCAGUCUCGAGUAACAAAAAAAUGUGGUCAAAUUUGGAGGGCCACAUUUGGCUCUUUAGCCUUCCAACUAAGUCAAUUGUAUGGCAACUUUGGCCUAUGCCAAAUUUUUUAUGUAGGCCCAAAACAUGUGCUUUUCAAAAAGAUAAAUUAUCAAGUGUGGGCAAGAGCACGAAACAUUUCUCCCAAAUGCAUAUCCAAUAUCCAAUGUUAAAGGUCCACUAAUGUCAUUGAUGAUGGUAGCUAGCCGUUAGGAUUUUUUUUAUUUUUUAUAUAUAAAAUAGUCUUUUAAAUGUUAUUAACGUAUACGUGUUAUAUAUGGAAUAUUGUCUCUAAAUAGUAGCUUAGUUAAAUUAAUCAAUACAUAAUUGUGGAAUGUAUGAGUGUUGUACUAUAGUUUUUCUCAAAAUAAUAAAAUAUAAAGGAUCCUAAAAUAUAGCCAUGCAUGGCUGGAGAUGUAAAAAUUUAGUCAUACACUAUUCUUUAAAAAAUUAAUAUUUUGGAAGGUUAAAUUUAUAGUAUUUGACUACAUUUAACCCUAUGAUUAGAGAUGGCCUAAGAUAAUUUUCCACUGAACUAGACUCCGUUGACAAAACCAAUUUCUUAAACUUAAAACAACUUUAGCAAAUACAAACCAUCUAAAUAAACAAAUGUUUCACAAUAAUCACCAUCCCUAUUUUUUGUUUUUUUGUUUCUUAAAUUAUUUUAGACUCUCUUUGGAUGGAGGGAUUCGAAAUAAUUAAUUUAGAUAUAGCAACAUAGAUUGUAAUAGUCUAAACAAAUAAUAUUAAUCCAUGAAUUUAGAAUAUCUUUCAAUCCAAAUGGAGUUUUAACGAAUUCCAUUACAUUUUAUGACAACACAAUGGACCGAAAUACGAUCUUAAUUAGUAAUCUAAGACAUUAGAUUUGCCAUAUUUAUUUAUACACUCUUUCGUUUUGCUUAUCUUGUCCUAAAUUGUAUGUGAAGGUAAAAUAAAAAAACAAACUAUAUUACCUGCUUCAAACGAUGACCAUUUUCCUUUUCUAUUAUCUCAACCGCGUGGCCCUGGAGACUUGCUUGAGAAUGAACUAGUGGACCCUGGUGAAAUUGAGAGUGUACGCUGGUGAGGCAUGGAUUAUGACUUGGUGAGCACUGAACAUGCAUUGCAUUAUAUCAUGAUUAUUAAAUAAAAUAAUGGUGAAUCGUCAGCUUGAUUGGUGUCGGUAGAAGGAUUAGGGGAAUAAGGGGGGGUGGGUGGGGUCCCUUCCCACUAAAAUUACCAUGCAUUUGUCAACUCUUGCCUUUGGGAAAAUCCAUUGGCCCAAAGUUCCGUCCUCCCCAGAAAACUUCGUAGAUAGUAGGCAACUACCAAAUUUAAAGAAAAGAAAAAAGAAAAAGAAAAAUUAUAAUGGGCUUCAGUAUGAAAAGACGAUAAUGGACUGGGCUCAGUUUAUAGAUUCUAUGUGAUGGGCUUAGGGUUUUAUUACCCAUUAACAAAAAAGCCACUAUUUGCUAAUGUCUUGUUUAUUUUAGAUUGCAAGAAUUUUGUUUUUUUCUUUAUAAAAAUGUUAAAAAUUUACUCUUUAAAUGAUAACUUGAAAGAGAAAAAACACAUAAUCAACUCAGGGGUAUUUUAAUUUAAUUUCACCUCCGGGGUAUUUUUAGUUUUAAUAAUAAUAAUAAAUUGAUCGUCCUUUUAAGUUUAUCCCCUCCGGCCAGUCUAUUGCAAUGACAUAACUUAAAGCAAGACAAAUGAUUGAGAGAUUUUUUUAUUCAAAGCAAUUUGAAAUGUGUACUUCAACAAAGUGAGGAAGAGAAAGAUACACUGCGUGGGCUCUUUGUGCUCUACGCAAUCCUCGACGUUGCUGUCUCUUGCAUUGUAGAAGAAGAACAUCAAUUACCUUCGCUCUUUUCUUUCGGUAAGUUUUUCAUUUGAUAUGCAUGUUUUUUAUAUUAUAUUAUUCUACUACGUUUCCAAUAUCAUCCUGGGUUUUCUUUUUCAAGAUCUCUGAUUUUUCAUGUCGUCUGAUUGAUACUGCUAUGAUUGUUGCUAAUUUCUUGAUGUUCUUGGAUCAUCCGAAGACCCAUAUGCUUGAUCCGUUACUUUCCGGUGCUCAUGGGUGAUUGAAUGCUUUAUAUGUUCAAUUUUUUAUUUUCGUUUAUAUGGGUCAUUUGAUUUUGCUCAAUCUCUUUAUACAGAGUAGCUGCCUGGUUGCUUCUUGCAUCAUCAUCAAGGUCAAUUGUUGAAUUUCUUACUUCUCUGUACACAUUUACGGUUCAUAAAGCUUCCUUGAAGAGGGUAUUUCAUUUUCUCUGCUUAUGUCUCUUCGUUUAAUCAGAGAAUACACUGGUACACAUCGAACAGUUGUAUAGUUCAAUGCAAGUGCAAGACUUCAUCAGAAUUCGGGUUUUCGUGUUUAAGUGAUUUGGGCAAGGAGUGGUUUUUGUGGUAUCGAUUGCUUCUGACUGAAAUGCUGUUUAAGAGGGACUUGGAGUCUAGUUAGAGAUUUAGUUUUAAGAAUUAUGGAUUUUCAGAAUAAUUUUCAGCUCGAAUCAGGGAAAUUGGAACAGAUAGUUUCCCAGUUUCUACUGAAGAGCUUGCAUAUUGUUUUGGACUCUAGGAUCCCUUCUCUUCACCCACAUGAUCGCAGUGGUGACCUGUCAUCCGUUCCUCAAGUGAGAAAGAGUGACAAGUGGUUCAACUUAAUACUAGGGGACCGCCCUGCAGCUCUUGAAAAUUUGAAUUUUUGGCACAGAAAUGUAAUGGAUCCAAUGAUAAUUGACAUAAUACUUGUUCGUGGAGGGCCUAGUUCUUCUUCCGUUGACAAUCUAUAUGUGAAUUCUGUGGAGGGGACAUCUGUUGAGACGAUUAUAGAGAGGUGGGUUGUCCGGUAUGAAACUCCGCGGGUUGUGGCUCCCCAAACUGGUGACACUUCGGCCUCUUAUAAGAAGACAUACAAGAAGUCAAUCAUACUUUUACGUACUCUUUAUUCAUAUAUGAGGCUUCUUCCAGCUUAUAGGAUCUUUAGACAGCUAAGUACAUCUAGUCAGACUUAUAAUUUUGAUAUUAUUUACAAGGUGUCUUCACUUAGAGAUCCAUUCUCAAGGGCGGAGGAGGAACUAAUGGAGGAGUACAGUUUUGCUCCUGUAGAGGCUCAUCCUGGCUGCCUUUCUUUAUCCGUGACUUACCGUUCAACACUAUCUGAUUUCAAUCUUGAGCCUGCAGCACCAAUGCCACCAAGGAUAAUUACAGAUUAUGUUGGUAGUCCUGCCACUGACCCCCUGAGGUCUUUCCCCUCAUCAGAGAAGGGUGUUUGUGCAACUUCCUUUCCGCGAGGAGGAAUACCACCGCCAUAUACUGUGCCACUUCAACGCCCACACAGCUGGACAAGUGGCAUCUGCAGGCCACCUCCUUUUAUUCACAAUAAACCCCUAGUCGGAUCUCCACCUGCAUAUCGUGCACCUCCAAUGUCACAUGACGUUGGAUCUCCUCCUAUUGAUACAUUUGCUAACAGAGUUCAAAACUAUAGACCUCUAGGUGGUCAUCAGAGAAAUAUGAGUUACGAUGAGUAUCAGCUUUCACCUCCAUUUUCGCCAUCUCCAUCCCCAUCUCCCCCAACAUACUUGUCCAGUGGAAAUUUAAAUCCUAUGCAAACUCGAAUUCGUUCAGGAACUGCCCCUGUUAGUAUCCCUCUUCCAAUGGGGAGCAGAAGCCCUAGAUACCUGUCCCCCAAUCUUUCUGAUCCAAGUAGAAAUUCUCUUCCUCCAUUCUCGCCCAGAAGCAUAAGGAAUGACGCUUCCUCUCAAGAGUCUCCAUCCGUAAUCAGAGCAUUUAGAAAAUUAGAGGCUUCAAGGGCCGGUGAGAUGCACCCUGGAACAUCAAAUCAUAUGGUUGGUCAGAAGGUAGUCCCUGUUUUCUGGUUUAGCAGCUUUUUCACUCCACAUUUAUAGUUUUGAAGUUAAACUGUUUGUUUCAUUCUUUCUAGUAAGACCAUUUAUUAUUGUUUCAUAGGUGAUGAAAGACAGUAAAGAUGAUUCAGGGCGGUUCUCAGGAUUGUUGUCUUCUAGUGGCUCACCACGUGUAGGAUUUUCUAGAAGCUCCAGUAGAUUAUCUUUCCAGGAUGAUUUGGAUGGUUUUGAGUUCUCAUGUCCUUUUGACGUGGAUGAUGUUGAUACAUCAGAUUCUCAAGUCAGGUACUUAAAUUAAUCUUUAUGGUUAAAAUCUAUGUACGGUCAUGGCCCAUUUUUGGCCUAAGGAAAUUUGUAUUUGAGUAAUGGUAUUAUUUAUAUUGAAGUUGUUUCCUUCACAAUUGCUGUGGCUACUUUUCUGGAUGCAUCUUUUUUCUGUUUCUCACUCUUAACUGUUAUUUGUUCCGGGCCUCUUGAAUUGCUGAGUUUUAUGACAGAAAAAGCAGCAGCAAAAAACAGAACAUGGUUGGAUCUAUUUCACAAUACCUGAAUCCCUGUGAUACAAAUAGAAAAAACAAUGCAUUUUAUUUGCACGAUCAUGAUUACCCAUCAUGCUCUAUCAUUUUCCUGGUUCAGCUCGUGUAGGGAUUCACUUUGGCCGCAAGAAAUGCCACCAAAAUCUGAUAUUGAAAUGACAGUUGCUUUCCUAGUGCUGGCUCAAUUGGAGAUAAGCAUCUGUCAAAUUUUCAAAAGACAGUUGACUGGGUAUUCUACCAUUACUUGUAUGCAUCGAGAAGUUAUGCAUGCUUUUAUAUUUACUUAUUCAAAAUUUAAAACUAAGAAUUCAAGUAUAUUGAAAUGGAUGAAACGGAUAAGAUGUUCGCUAGUUACGAUGGGUUAUUUACUAUUAUUGACUUGAAUUGAUAUGCCAUGCAUUUGUUUUCUAGCCUUAUCUUAUGCACUUGAUCUGAGGUUACAUUUAGUAUGUUGCUUGUUGCAAAUAUGCGUAGCUUACUUGCUUAGUAUCUUACAUAUGUUUCUCUAUUCGUGUUUUUGGUGCAGUCAAAAUCUUGAUGGCAGAAAAGCUUCUGAGUAUACAUCACAGUCAUUGCCAAUAGGCAGAAAAUCACAUGAUGCUGCGGUUGGCGUUCUGGUUCAGAUGCUGAGGACAGCUCCACCUCUGCGCCAAGAUUCAAGUUGUUACUCAUCCCAGUCUGUGAAACCUGAACACGAGGGAGGAGUUGCUACAGCUUCUGGUUUCUUUAUGCCUCGGAAGACAUCUGAUGCGCUGGAGGAGCUCAGAAGUUAUAAAGAAAUGAAAGACCUUCUACUGUCAAAGAGUGGAAUGAGGGUGCUUGCUAAAGAAGAAGCAUAAUGAUACUGCAGCUUUGGUCAUUGGUGGGUUACUUGUAUUUCUUGUGUUAGAGGGAAGCUUGAGCUUCCCAGUUAAAAAGAUUGCUGUGUGUAUAACUGGAGCAACCAUUGCCACGCUGUGACAAGAACAUGCAUUUUCCUGUGAAUGCCCUGAACGGAGGACUAACUGACUGUAAAUAUCAUGACUGAUAACUAGUUUACUAUCAUUAAAGCAGUUUACUGAAUUUUAUUGAUCAUUACUCUCUCUCUCUCUCUCUCUCUCUCUCUCUCUCUCUCUCAGAAAAACUUGGAAUUUGCCACCUUGAUAAGGGAAUAAUCGCAGUUGAUCACCUUUUACUUAAAUAAUGAUUUUGAAAACAACUAAAUUUUAAUCAACAUAUAUUCAAAUUUCAAUCUCCUACGGAACCGAACUUAACUUGAAAAAGGAGAUGGGAAAAUGCUUAAACUAAUAAUUAUUAUUAAUUUUGGAAAUAAAAAUAGAAAGAAUUAUCCCAAAAAAAAAAAAAUCAUUUAACAUUAUGGGCCCAAUUCCGCUAUAGUUGUAACAGGCUGUAGCACACAGUCAGGCCCAUUACAGCCCCGUCCCGAAUCCGAAGUCCGAUCCUUUUAGCAGAGUCGGGCUGGCUUGAUCCGGGAAAGAAAGAUGAACGAACGCCCACGCAAUUCAAACUAGGAGAGCUUACAAUUUUCUUUCAUUUGUUCUUCUUCUUCUUCUUCUUCUUCUUCCCGCUGUUUGGCUCAAUUCGGAGAAAAUUUAGGUCAUGGAUCCGUCGUCUUGCCCAUUCUGUCAUCUGGAAGUUCCAUCCUCAGAACUUGAGUGGUAUUAUAAUACGCAACUCAUACACACAUAAUAUAUAGCUGCAUAAAUAUUUGCAGCAAAGCAAAGAAAGUUAAUCCUUUUUUAUUUAUUUAAAAUUUCUGGAUUGUGGUUAUGUAUGUGAUUUGUAAAUAAAAUGAAUUGUUGCAGGCAUGCCAACAGCCACUUUGAGGUCGAGGAUGAAGAUGAACAACUGGCAGCAAGGGACUUGGAAUUUGCCCAACAACUUGCUCUUGCCCCUUCUUCACCUCCAUCAUCAUCCAUGGUAUUCUUUUACUUUCUCGUUUACUUUCUCUUCUUAUGGCUUGCCCAUUCAAAUCAUAUAUGAAAACAAAAGUUUCUUGGGUUUUUAUAAGCAAGAAAGGAUUUUUAUUCGUUUUUCUCAGGGAAAAGAGAAACGUCGUUAACAAAUGGUUGGACAGCAACUUUGUUUUCUUCUUCUUCUUUAGUCUUCUUUUAAGUUGUAAUCUGAAGCUGUCUACUAACUUCUUAGUUUCGUACUGGAUACACCCGCAGAAUAGUCAAGCAAUCAGUGACUUGCCAAUUUCUAGAUGUGAUGCACAAAUUAGCAUGGAGGAUAAAGUCUCUUGCUUGAUUGCUUUACAGACUAGGACCACUUUCUACGAAAUUGAACAUGGCUUGAUGGCCUUGCUGAGAGACUGUUUGGAGUCAGAACGUGGAAAUACAACCAGUAUUGUGUCCGGUUAUAUUGAUCAUUUUCAGAGCAUUCCAUCUGAGGACGUUGGGUGGGGUUGUGGGUGGCGUAACAUCCAAAUGCUUAGCUCCCACUUGCUUAUGCAAAGGCACGAAGCUCGGGAGGUUUUAUUUGGUGGUUGGGGAUUUGUUCCUGAUAUUCCAUCUCUCCAAAGAUGGCUUGAGAUUGCUUGGGAAAAGGGAUUUGAUGAACUUGGCUCUGAUCAUUUUGCUAAUAAUAUUUAUGGCUCAAAAAAAUGGAUUGGAACUACUGAAUGUGCUGCCCUUUUCCGUUCUUUUGGGCUUCGAGCAAGAAUCGUAGAUUUUGGUCCCAAGGAACUUGAAUCAUUUUAUCCUUUGCUUCCUGGUUCAAGUCUUGGGAAAGAAGUAAAGAGAAUACAUAAUGGCGGAAAGAGGAAAGCAAUUCAGGUUUGUGGCCCGAUGGAUAGGUAUCUAUUGGCAAGGAAUCAUGAUGUUUCCCAAGCAAGUUCCAGUGGGGAUGAAAAGUCUGGAUGUUCUAGUAUUCCUCUUGGUGACUCGUUGGGUAGCAAAAGUAAUGAGAAUUUGGGAAAUAAGUUUACAAGAAAUAGCAAGGGUCAUCAGGUUCUCAUUGAUUGGAUCUGGAACUAUUUUUCUGAUAAAAAUUUUACCAAAUCUGGCAAUCGUCAGGUUGUUGUCAGUGACAAAACGUAAGUUUCUAUCUCAGUUAGUAGCUAUAGUACCAAGAGUGCACACUUUAUUUUUAUAUUUUGUUCUAAUUUGAAGAGAGGUUCUUUGAGCAGACCCUUGUACUUCCAACACGAUGGACAUUCGAGAACGGUUGUUGGGAUUCAAGUCAAACAUCAACAUAAUGGGAUGCAGCAGCACAAUCUCUUAAUAUUGGACCCUGGCCAUGUAAUGUUCCAUCAAUUCGUAGGAAUCUGUGGAGCAUCUUAGGUUUAACAUCUGUAUUUUGCAAUUUAUUAUUGAAUACAAUUGUCUUUUCACUCUUGUGACACACAAUUACAGAGAACAGCAGAUCUGGAAAGAUCACUGAAACAAAAGGUCGGAUGGCAGAAGUUCAUCAAAAGAGGGGUUCACACACUGAAAAAGCCACAGUACCAGGUAAUGAUUAUUUAAAUAUAACAUUUGCCUUUGGUUUGACUACUCAUUUGGACUGGACUUGAUGCAAUAAUUUUAUCUCAGUUGUGUUAUAUUGAUACUGGAAUAGCAAAUCGGGAGGAAGUGGAGUUGCUCAAGACAAUAGAAAGUGUUUUUCUGGAGUUCUAGAGGAACCUGUUGAACAUUUGCGAUCUGGAUUCUUGUUCUUCUGAAUAUACGUGAACAGAGGAACAAGUGGCUAUAUUAGUGUUCACUUAUAUGCAGUGAGUGUUGACAGGACAGGGAAAGAUAAGAUAUGUUUGAAAUUAACGCAGCCUAAAAGAGAAUGAUUUGAUAUUCGUUUUAAGGCUUGUCCCCCACCCUUAGAAAGACAAUUUGAUUUCUGAAGAUAUUCUGGCUGCAGUUUCUGUGUUGACCUCUUCUCUACAAAUGAUCCUGACUAAUGAUGGAUUGAUAUUGAGGAAAUGUGUUACUGUUAGUGGAUUUCAUAUGUGCAAGAUGGCCAGAGAGUCAGGGGUUCAGAUCUUCUUACUCUUCAGAUGCUAGGAUGCUGUGAUGUUUUACAAGCUCUUAAUCUAGGCUAUCGUGGUUAUCAUUAUGAUCAAUUUGAGUUGCUUUUUAGCUGCCUGGAAGAUUUGGCAGGAGACACAGCACGAAAAGUGACUCCCUUAUGCUUGCUUUCUGGGGGUGUACUUACUUUUGAGGGUGAGGAAUAAAGCCUGCUGGAGCUCAAGGGAACAUUCUUAUAUUCUUAGUUGAUGUUGAUGGAGCGAAUGACUACCUGUUAGUCUAUUAUUUUCUUAAGUUUUGUUGAUUCCAUCCGGGAGUGUAUUCUCUUGUGUACAUUGUAUUUAGAGUCCAAAUGGCAUCAUCCGAGAACAAAUUUAUUCAUUUAUCAAUAAAUAGGAAUAUAUGUUGCAACUUCUGUGCUUCUCUAUUCAACAAUUCAUUGUGUCAUUAACCUCGUCCCGCCCCUUUUAAUACGUCAUUAACCUCGUCCCACCCCCUUUUAAUACGAAAUUGCUACAAGAAUAUUACUUUAAGCUCCUAAAUAAAAAUAUAUAGUCCUAAGGAUUUUUUAAGUGCCCUUGCUGUAUGCACAUCUCCAAGGCAACUGAAUGUAUUAUGUUACUCUUCUGCCAAGUUCUGUAGCUGAUAUAAUCUUGAAUAAACUCCCUCAGAUGCUGUUAUAAGGGCUGAGUGGGAACCUAUCUCCACAAUCUUGCCUUUAUCCAUGACGAUAAUGGUAUCUGAGUUUAUUAUUGUGGAAAGCCUAUGUGCGACUGUAAUUUGUGUGGUUUUUGACAGUAUGCCCCCAUUGUUUGUCAAAUUUAUAGCAGCCAGUGCACUCACAACAGAUUUCUCCGAUUCAGCAUCAAGGGCACUUGUUGCUUCGUCCAGGAGCAAAAUUGCAGGCCUCUUUAGCAGUGUUCUAGCUAUGGCUAUUCUUUGCUUUUGUCCUCCUGAAAGUUGACAGCCCUUCUCCCCAACAACUGUUUCAUAUCCGUCAGGCAAAUUACUUAUGAAUUCAUCUAUGUUUGCUUCCCUAGACACCUCCACAAUCUCAGUCUCAGAAGCCCCGUCGGUCCCGUAGCAGAUAUUGGCUUUGAUUGAGGAGCUAAAAAGAAGAGGCUCUUGUUGAACUAACCCUAUUUGUCUUCUCAACCAUCUCAAGUUAUAUUCCCUUAUCUCCUUUCUGUCAAUGAGUAUUCUUCCUUCCAUAGGAUCAUAAAAUCUGAGCAGAAGGGCCAAUACAGAAGAUUUCCCAGCUCCACUUGGGCCAACAAAGGCCACCUUUCUUCCAGCUUCAAUUUGCAAACUGAAGUUGUUCAGGACAGUUACUUCUGGUCUUAAAGGGUAAUUAAACUUGAUAUUUUGAAAUUCGAUGCUCCCUUUGAUUCUGUCAAGAUUUGAAUUUUCUGGUAUAGCUGGUUCUAUUUCAGUUUUGCGGUCAAGUGUCUGGAAUGCAGGAGUUAGCACACUGAUGGCCGAGAUGACAGUGGGAAUCAGUGUCCAUAAUUCUGUGAUUGAAGGUACUGUAAGAGAAAAAAUCUGGUAUGACCUUAUGCUAUUUUUAAAGCUUGCUUGAUGUCUAUCAACCAAGACUGUUGUAUACCACAAUGCAACAGCAUGUGCGAUGUUCCAUAAGCAAAGGGAAACACCCUGAAUUAUGCCGUACUUAAUACUUUCUCUCCUGCACUUUCUCCUGGGGUUUUCCAGAGAUAUUUUGGCUUUUCUGAGUAUAUGAUCUUCAUGACAGAAGGAUGCAACGGUUCUUAUGUUGGUUGCAGACUCAGAAGCAAGAGUAACAAGUUCAGAAUGUGCAGCAGCUGCGUCACCUGAAAAUCCUUUAGCAGACUUGGCUUGAAUCAGACCACCAAUGAAGUGGCAAGGCAUCACAGCCCAAGCUACCAAGCCCAUUCUCCAGUUAACAGCCAUGCUCACAAUUGUUGCAAUCAGUAUGGAGGAGAUGCACUGAACAAUAACAGACAUACGAUCAGCAAUGAUGGUUUUAACCAUUGAGGUGUCAUUGAUGAUCCGUGAAGUAAGCGGACCAAUGUUGUUCUCAGGUUUCUCAAACCAUGCGAUUUCAUUGCGUAGUACACCUGCAAGAUUAUAAUGGAUGGGUGUUAAUUUGUAGUUUUGUAUUACCUUCUAGAAGCAGAAUUUAAAAUAUGAGAUGAUUGUUACGGGUAGGACUGUAUGAUACCUGAAUAGAGAGCUCGUCUCAGGUUUGUCAUGGCCUUCUCUCCCACCAUUCCAAAGAAGUAAUGUUGCACGGUGUGAGAGAAUAAUGAAAGAAAUCCUAUUACAGAAAAGACGAUUGAAAAUUUUUCGACCUUCCUCUUAGCAUCGUUCUCGUAGUAUGCUACUCCGAUUGUUAUAAUGCAAUACCCAAAGAUAGGCUUUGAUAUGCCAGAGAAAGCUGCUGCAAAGGAACCAAGAGCAAUCUUUCCAAAGUCUCGCUUGUUCAAGUCAAACCAGAUUCUGAAGAAUAUAGCUGCUUUUCUUCUUUCCUGUUCUUCAUGCUUUGGAGACUCCUUAAGCUGGCUGUCAGGCUCCCUAGGUUCCUUGGCUUGUUCUAUCUCUUCGGGAGAAAUCUGUUGGGUGUUGGCAGGUUCUUGAGAGGAACUAGUGUCUCUGUUUUUCAGUCCACAUUGUAUAAUGGUUAGGUUGUUAUGAUUUAUUGCUAUUACGUUACGUGUGUAAGCAUUAAGCAAGGGAGAUUUUCAAGUGUGAAUUAAUAUUACUAACCUUGAGUCAUGAACGGGGUUAAGGUUCUGCAUAGCAAACAAGGUAUUGUAGAAUUUGCUGCUGUCAAGCAAGUUACGAUGCGUCCCUGUUUCUGUAACUUGGCCAUUUUCAACAACAGCAAUCAUAUCCGCAUUAAUGACAGUUGAUAGUCUGUGUGCGAUCAAGAUGACUGUCCUUCCCUGCAUGGCCUUGUCAAGGGCGUCUUGAACCACCUUCUCUGACUCUGAAUCAAGAGCACUUGUUGCCUCGUCAAGCAGAAGAAUUGGAGGGUUUUUUAGAAUGGCUCUAGCUAUGGCGAUUCUCUGCUUUUGUCCUCCUGAUAACUGGACACCCCUUUGCCCCACCUGGACCCCCAUUUCAUCCAAAGUGCACAAGUUAUCAUAAUGUCUUAAUAUACUAUACUCUUAAUGAGUUGAGCUGAGUUGCUGACCUCUGUUGAGUAGUCAUCUGGAAGUUGGGAUAUAAAAGAGUGUGCAUUUGCCAUAACUGCUGCUUUCUGGAUCUCUUCAUCUUCUGCAUCCAUCUUACCAACUUUCAUGUUGUCUUUGAUGGUCCCUCCAAACAGUGAUGGCUCUUGCGAAACUGCUCCUAUGUUUUUCCUCAGGAACUUCAAAUCAAGGUCCUUGACAUUGUGGUUGUCAAUCAAAAUCUCCCCUGAAUAUCCAUCCGUACGUACAUUUAUCAAUUUCAUGUAACAAUAAGAAGAACUCUGUGCAACAAGGAAACUCAAAGAAAAGCCUGCCUACUUAGUUGUGGGGUUAAGGAGUUGAAAAGCAGGGAGGCAACAACAGACCUUUUGAGGGAUCAUAGAAUCUUGCGACAAGGGAGAUGAUAGUACUCUUCCCACACCCACUGCUGCCCACAAAGGCUACUGUCUGUCCAGCUGGGAUUGACAAUGAAAAUCCUUGUAGAAUGGCUCUCUCCGGCCGGGACGGGUAGGAAAAGUGCACAUCAUGUAUGUCAAUGUUGCCAUAAAUCUCAUCAAGUGUCUUCCCUUUUGAAUCAUAACUUAUAACUGGCUCUCUGUUUAACACUUUGAAAACCUCAGUUCCUGCAGCCUUUGCCUGAUUGAAGAUUUGCAUGUCGGGUGCAGCAUAAGUGAGUGAUCUGAAAUUCAAUAGAAACCAAUUCAUUGAGGUUAAUUAUUGAACAGUCAAUUCAUAUAUAGAAAUUUGCUUGCUUGCUUCCUUGCUUACAUAGCUCCAAAGAGAAUGCUCAUGACAGCAGCUAUAAUAUCUCCACCGCUUGCCCUCGUGGCAGUGACUACAACAGCACCAACCCAUAUGACGAGAGCCCAAGAACCAAAAGACACAGAUUGAAGCAUUCCUGUUCCAACUCCCUUUAUUAGAGCCUCUCCUUUGCUUAGCAAAUACUGUUUUCCCAUGCACUCUGAGAAAGACUUGAUUGCAGACUUUUCUCCAACAAAUGCAUACACUGUUUUUAUCUGAGAUAUUGUCUGUGAUGAUGAUGCAUACAGGAAUCAGUUAGAUAGUAAUAUAUAUAUCUUUGUUGUUUGGCACUGGCAGGGUCUAGCUGGCUAGCUAGCUGUUACCUGUUCUACCAUAGACGUAGCUUCUGACUGGUAAAGCAUUCUUGCGGCGGAGAUGGCGUUCAUUUUCUUUGUGUAGGUUGCUCCAAUUAUAAGAAUCAACGGGACAACCAAAAAGGUAAGCAGUGCCACUUCCCAACAGCAUAUGGCAGCAAUCAAAAUUCCAGAAAAGAAAGUUGCAAGGCAUGACAGAAAAUGACCCAACUGCAUGCCGCAUGCGAGUGAUAUUAAUAUUCAUUAUUAAUUGUCAUGACUCAUGAGCAAGAGUAGCUAGGAAUUAAACCUUCUCUCCAAUUGCAUCCUGUAUGAUACUCAUGUGGUUACUAAUUCCAGUAAUGAUUUUGCCACUUGUUAAGUCUGUAUCAAAAGCUCCAAUCUCCUGGCUGAGCACUGCUCUUAGAUAUGCUAAUCUUAGACGUGCCACUUGUCUUUCACUUGAAUACAUCCAGCAUCCAAUUUCUGCAAAACUCCCCUCCAAGCAAGCAGCAGGAUAUGAUUAGAGGUUUAUUAUCUUACUAACAUGGACAUUCAAUACUAGUUGGAAAUGAAAUAUAUAUAUACCAAGUAUUCCAGCUGGGAAUGUGGCGAAGGCCAUGUACCACACAUAUGGAAUAACCUAAUUUACAAACAACAAAAAAGCUCAUGAGAGAAGUGAAGCAAGCCUGCAUGCUUUUUAAACUUAAUUUACAUACAGUACCUUGUUGAGGGAUUUAACCGUGGCAUCAGUGUCAUUGAUGUUGCUCCCAAAGGCAUCGAGAGCUUUGCCAAGCAACAGAUAUCCAACUGGAAAAGCCAUACCAUGCACAAUGGAACCCAACGUCCCCAAAAACAUCAUGCUCCAAUCCAAUGCGUCUGCAUAGCUCAGCAGUUCAUUAAAUCCCAGAGUUUCGACUCUCGUCAUCUCCUCCUUGGACUUCUCGUCCUCCAUCAUUUCUUUCUUCUCUCCGAUCUGCAUGACUACUUUUCCAUCGCAUGCAAUGCAGCAUAUACUUAUACAGCAUGCACUUAUUAAUUAAAAGGGUUGCUAUCCCCGUUUAAUUUAAUAUACAAAAUUUAUGAAAACAACACGCAUGUACAGAUGCACCAAACGAAUAUCUCCGUAUAUACCUUGGCAAAAUCAAGGAAAAAAAAACAUUUCCUCCUGGAAUGGUUUAUUCUCUUGGCUGCAUCUUGGUGUUCAAAAUACAUGCACAAGAAUAUGCAUGGUGGCUGGCAAGAAGGCAGUGGUUUGUAUAUAAGUUAAACCCUGCUUACCACCCAAAUCAUUGUUUAAUGAUUUCCGUGCAUUCAUUAAUAGAAAUUUCAUUUUCAAAUCCAUUUGAUUAUGAGAUAUAUAUAUAUAUACAGAGCAAUUGAAAUGAUUUAUUGGAAUCUCUGGGGUUGAAACGGAUCAAAUUAAAGUGAAGGAAAUCUGGAUAAGUAUUAGUACGUAUGUCGAUUGAGAUGGUGACAAUGAUUUUAAUAAUAAAAAUUUGUAUUAUUUUCAUAUAUAUGAGAACUAGUAAUAUUCAGUGUCACUUAAUUACAUGCAUAUAUAUUCUAACGAAAUAUUGAAUAUUUUGAAUGCUUUAUCAUUCUCUGUUUUUUACCUUUUUAUAUAUAGAUAAUGUUUAUCUUUGCUGUAAAAAGUUAGUUUGAGACCACCACUCCUUUUUUUUUCCUUUUCGGUUUCGUUUGUUUUUUCUGAAAGCGCAUCUUCCAAUUAUACUAAGAGAUUUGGGCCGUCCGAUUAAAUUUCACAAUGGACCAAGCCCAGCAAAUCAAACAAACAAUAAUGGGCUCAAUCACUUUUUUCGCAAUUUGGAUUCCUCAUAGGCAUUAUCGUUAGACCAAAAAGAGAAAUACUAUAGCUACUUGGAUUUUCAAUUUUCAGUUGAUAAUCAAUGUUUAGUUCAAAAUUUGGAUGGUCUCUCAAGUUCUCAACCCUUAACUCAAUUGCUAAUUUCUUACCUUAUACUCAACUUAGUCCACCUUCCUUCAAAUUUCGAGUUAUACUAAAAUUUGAAAGAAAUAUACACGUAUCAAGUUACAUUUAUAUAUCUUUCAAAUAAUAUAUCAGGUCAUUGUAUUUGACAUAAUUACACGUGACUAUUUUUAACGAACUUGGAUGCUAAGUAAUGACAGUUAUUUGUGAAGUAAAACGUGGAGAAUGAUAUUUGAUCAUUUUUAAAGAAAUGUAUGAAAAUCAGGAUUUUGGCAAGAAGAAGAAGAAAAAAAAAAACCCCCACAAUGUAAAGAAAUAAAAAGAAAGAAAAAGAAAAAUGUUUAGUUGGGCGCGUGAUUUGGGAUACCAAAGUUCCAGGUGGAGGGAUGAUAUUGCGGAUCUUGGGAUACAAGUCGAGUGCUUUGAUUGUCCACGUAUAUAAAAAGGUAUUCCUUCCUUACACUCUCUCCACCAUGCCCUACGCUAAAUGAACUCCGAACCAAACCAACCCUCCACUGUGACUCACUGAGAGCUCGUCGCCGGUCGUUGCCGGUCGUCCCAAACCGCCGGUUAGCUUCUCUCUCUUCUUAUACUUUUCUUUUCACCGAUUCAACUUUUUUCCAUCUUCCCCCUUUUGCCCAUCCGCUCUCUAUUUAAUUUGUUCUUCUCGUUUUUUCCUUCUUUCACCAUUUAUUUUUGAUAGACUAUUUGGGAGGCUUUCUGCCGAAUGCGUCUGAUGGUGUAUCUGAAUGCAUUGAAGUUUGCCAUACAUUGUUACCCUAUACAAUCUAUAUAUACUUUAUAGCUUUGCUUAUCGCUAGCUUUUAGUUUGACAAUGUCGCUAGGGUUAGUUUUCCGAUUUUGUGUAAUUGGUGUUUUUCGUAGUUAUAAACUUGUUGCUAUUAUUGAUUAGGCCGCUGGGGUUUCUUUUUCGUGUUGGGUUAAAUAGUAUGGUAGUUUAUUUUUCUUUUAUGUACAUGUAGUAUGUGUACUGGGUUUCAUAAUCUCUGAUUAUCUAAUACUUGAAUUUUCUUUUUAUUUCUUGUCAGAUUUUGAUAUAGGCGAGCAUAACAUUUUUUCUUCAGUUCGCUGCACACAGUACCCUUCAUAUAGUAUCGCCAAGAUGGCGAACCUAGCAAUGACCGGCAUACUGGAAAAGGUGUGAUCAUCUUAGGUGUUUUCUGGCUAAAGGAAGAUGAAUGUGUGUUUACUGGUUGCGUCUUUCGGCUGUGCUGCAUGUGUGAUACAUUUUGACUUGUUCGAGUUUGUUUUUCAGAUGACCGGCAAAGAUAAGGAUUUCAGAUAUAUGGCAACAUCUGAUUUGUUGAGCGAAUUAAACAAAGAAAAUUUUAAAGCUGAUGGUGAUCUAGAGAUAAAGUUGUCAAAUAUUAUAAUUCAGCAACUUGAUGACGUUGCGGGUGAUGUAUCUGGAUUGGCUGUGAAAUGGUAUGGAAUAUGUAUCUGGUUUAAUUCUAUUCAGCAUUCAUUAUUGUGGUUGUAGUUGUACAAAUAUUCUGGCCAGUGUUCUGGGUGAUUGUUAUGUAACUCGUGUUGAAUUGUAAUGAACAAGCAUACAAACUCGUAAUGCUUUGGUACUUCUUUGCAUGUAAAGUAACCUUGUAUAAGUUUCUAGACAUAUUGACGCAGAUUGUAGGUAAUUAGUAGAAUGUUAUGGAAGUCUCCCAGCACAUUUCAGGCAUGGGUGAUUUCAAGUACCAUGUCCCUGAAAUUUGAAGUGGUUUACAAAUCAAAAGUAGGCAUGACAUGCUGUCGAUGCCUUAUGUUCUCUCGGUGUAUCAAUGUUAAAAUGAGUGAAAAAAUAGAAAAAGUUAUGUGAUACAGAUGCUAUAGUAGCAAAUUUAUACAACUUUUAGUUUGAUUAUUUAUUUGUUGUUUUUAUGUCAUACCACAGUCUUGCUCCAUUAGUUAAGAAGGUCAGCGAGCAACGAGUUGUGGAGAUGACAAAUAAACUUUGUGAGAAAUUGCUAAAGGAGAAGGAUCAGCAUCGUGACAUUGCAAGCAUAGCUUUGAAGACUAUUAUUGCUGAAAUUUCUACUCAAUCUCUUGCACAGUCUAUUCUUCUGUCUAUUUUGCCACAGUUGAUUAAUGGAAUUACUGGCCCAGUGAGUUAGUAACUCUUAUCUUUUGUCACUUUAUUAUAGACUUUUUUUUCCUUUUUGGGUCAAGGCUCCCUUUAUCAAUUAAUAAGAUAUGUUGGAUGCUACUAACUUGGAGAUGAAGCACCUAACAAGAUUGAUGAUUUGCAUAUGUAGUCUAGAAAAUUAUAUCCAUGAUGGCCUUAGAGAUGCGUCUAAUUUGUAAAUUAUCACCCUUUGGAAAGUACUAAAGCUGUAUAAACAUUGAAAAGGCUUUAGAAAUUACAAAUUUAGGAGCACAAAGAACUGAUGUGCAUAAGUUGGUUUUGUUUUUGUUCCACGUGGACAUUUGAGCUCUCUCUUUUUGUAUUUGUUUCAAUUUUGUUUGAUGCUUAAACCAACUUGAUUUAGAAGGAAAACUGGUUUAUAGGCCAUGUUUAUAAAGGACUGGAACACCAUAAUUAAAAUUAGUGAAAAUGAGUUCAUGUCCCUUGGUUGAAUGGAUCAGUGACUCUCUUUCUCCAUUGAUUCUUGAGUUUUAGAAUCAAAUCGAGGGCUUAUUAACUAGUGGUUAAAUUCAAUGAAAAAACUGGAGAUUAGUCAGAAUCAAUUUAUAUUAUCUUUCAUUUCCUCUGCUAUCAUCUGUUCUCUAUCUAAUUCAUUCAUUUAUUCCAUUGCAUUGCUAUUUCUAGAUGCCAACUUUUGGUUUUUCUUGCUAAUCUGUGUGCUCUAAUUUAUCCCAGGGAAUGAGCCAAGAGAUAAAAUGUGAAAGUCUUGAUAUCUUAUGUGAUGUUCUUCAUAAGUUUGGCAAUCUAAUGGCAACCGACCAUGAGCUGCUAUUAGGUGCUCUCUUGUCUCAGUUGAGUUCCACUCAAGCCGGUGUCAGGAAGAAAACUGUGUCAUGCAUUGGUAAGAUUCACUGGAUUCCUUGCAGUCACUUUUGCUUACCUCAAACAUGUAUUAGUUUUUUCGAAGAUCUGAAGGCCGUUUGGAUUGACUGUUGCCCCUCACAUUUAGUCAGUUUUUAAAAAUAAAAUAAAAAAUUACUAUUUUGGGUUUUUGUUUACCAUUCAGAACUAAGGGUUCUGGUUUGGGUUCUUAGUGGUGUACUUAUUUCUGAAUUCUAAUAGUUUCUGAGGCUUGUGACUAACCAAAUUUUAUGAAGAAAUAUGCAUAAAUUACCAUCUACGUAGAAACCUGUUUGAUUUGGUUCUAUCGUACUACUAUUGUUCAUACUUGUUGAAAUUGGUAUUGAGAAAUUAGAUGUAGAUUUUCCUUGUUUUGUUUCGUAAAUUGAAUGGUAGAUUGAACUUGACAAAUUGUUUUGCCUUUAGCUUCUCUUGCUUCGAGCUUGUCAGAUGAUUUGUUAGCAAAGGCAACAGUUGAAGUUGUUCAGAACUUGAGAAAUAAAAGCUCAAAAUCAGAAAUGACUCGUACAAAUAUUCAGAUGAUUGGUGCUUUAAGGUGAGCUUUAUGGUAUGCAUUCUUUUGCUGAUUUGCUUGACUUUCAAGUGGGGCGCAUACAUGGGCAAAAAAGAGUGGAACACAUGACUUCACUGUCAACGUAGUUUCUCACGUAUUACAAGUAUCUGACUUUAGUCUUAGAUACCGUGUAAUGUGCUUACGGUCUAGAGAUAACUUACUUUUGGUAACUAGUUUGAUAUUAUGGUGUGCAGUCGUGCUGUUGGAUAUCGUUUUGGACCCCAUCUUUCUGACACUGUCCCAGUGCUAAUUAAUUACUGCACAAGUGCAUCAGAGAAUGAUGAGGAGCUUCGUGAAUACAGCUUGCAGGUACUGUAUGUAUGAUUUUCUUUGUUGUGUUGGUAUUUUUCAUUAGAUUUCCAGGAUUAUAUGAAAGGUAUGUUAUGUCUAAACCAAUUUUUUAUAUACAUAUAUAUUGGUUUUGUUCAUAUAUGCUUUAUUUUGACUGCAGGCAUUAGAAAGUUUUCUGCUUAGGUGCCCCAGGGAUAUUUCUUCCUAUUGUGAUGAAAUUCUUCAUCUUAAUUUGGAAUAUCUAAGUUAUGACCCGAACUUCACUGAUAACAUGGAGGAGGAUACUGAUGAUGAAACGCACGAGGAGGAAGAAGAUGAGUAUGUUUUCAAUCUGUUUGAGGUUAUGUUUGAUUCAGAAUCACAUGUACACUUUAUGAUUUCUAAACAUGCUGGCUUUAUUAUGUUGUAGUGAGAGUGCGACUGAAUAUACGGAUGAUGAAGAUGUAAGCUGGAAAGUCCGAAGAGCAGCAGCUAAAUGCUUAGCGGCAUUAAUCGUUUCCCGUCCUGAGAUGCUUUCAAAGCUGUAUGAGGAGGUAUCUUUGCAAUUUCUCUUGAAACUUCUCAUUAUGUUUUUGGGUGCUCUCUUGUGUUUUUGAUAUAUUUGUAACAUUAUGAUUUUGCAUUUUACUUGGUAUGGAUCUCUCGUCGACUUGAAGUGUGAUGAUUAAUUUCCUUCAAUUCUCAGAUAGUCCUUCAAUGAAAUCAUUAAACACUUUCUGCUUUUCCGCAGGCUUGUCCAAAAUUAAUUGACAGGUUUAAAGAGAGGGAGGAAAAUGUCAAGGUAAACCAGAAUGAAUGUCAUUGGAUCUUCUCAUUAAGCUUCACGGGAUUAAUUAUCUGAUAUUAUUUUGUUGCAGAUGGAUGUUUUCAAUACAUUCAUUGAACUGUUGCAGCAGACUGGAAAUGUUACAAAAGGACAGAUUGAGAUAAAUGAACAGAGGUAACUUAGUUGUAAACUUGUAAUGUUAUCUGAGUGUCAAAGUACAUGCAGUUUGUUUUCUCUUUUGCCUCUUAUCUAGCAUUUGCUCGGUUGAGUGUGGUUUUUUAAAUCUUAGAUUCUUAACUAGGGAAUUGAACUUGUCCUAGUUCUGAGUUAUUAGAUGCCUCUGCUAAAUUAUUGGCAUGUUUUACAGUCCAAGAUGGUUAUUGAAGCAAGAAGUGCCAAAGAUUGUCAGAUCUAUAAAUAGGCAGCUACGUGAGAAAUCUAUCAAGACAAAGGUAGGAUUUUUUAAGUAUCUUUUGGAUUGUCCGUUGUGGGAAUGUUAUGAACUAUAACAUUUAUCUAUUUUCAGGUUGGCACGUUUUCUGUUUUGAAAGAGCUUGUAGUGGUCUUGCCAGAUUGCCUGGCUGAUCACAUUGGUUCACUCAUUCCAGGAAUUGAAAAGGCAUUAAGUGUAAGUAAAAUUGUCUCAAAUUGGAAGUGUAUUUUGAACUAAUAUAAAUUUUUUUUUUCUGAUGCCGACAUUUGUUCCCUUUUCUUUUUUGGGGGGUUCCUUUUAAUUUUUUCUAGGAUAAGUCUUCUACCUCCAAUUUGAAGAUUGAAGCUCUUAUAUUUGCACGAUUGGUGCUGGCUUCACACUCUCCUUCUGUUUUCCAUCCUUAUAUCGAGGUAAGUGCAGUAACUCGUACGAAUAUGCUAUGUUAUGAAUACGCUGAUAUGAUAUCGAGAAAUAGACCACAAGUUUCUUAUUUUAAAAAAAAAGUGAAGUAGACCACAAGUUGCAUUUGGUGUGGGGACGUUAUAAAAUAUAAACUCAUAUUCUUGCAGGCUCUUUCUAGUCCUGUUUUAUCUGCUGUGGGAGAGCGUUAUUACAAAGUCACAGCUGAGGCAUUAAGGGUGUGUGGGGAACUUGUCCGUGUCGUUCGGCCGAAUAUUGAGGUAAAUUAGUUGGCAAUCUUAUUCUUGUGGCGCAAUUAAACCAUUCUCUACUUAUAUGAUUUGGUUUUUCCAUGUAGGGGGAUGGUUUUGAUUUCAAACCUUAUGUUCAUCCAAUAUAUAAUGCCAUAAUGUCACGCUUGACAAACCAAGAUCAAGAUCAGGUCAGUAAAAUUUCUUAAAUUUUACUUUAUAUUUACUUCUUAAUUGUUUUUGUCUGUAUUGUGGCUCAUGCCUCUUCUUAUGCAGGAGGUAAAGGAAUGUGCUAUAUCUUGCAUGGGUCUAGUUGUGUCAACAUUUGGUGAUAACCUUGAUGUUGAACUACCUGUAUGCCUUCCUGUACUGGUUGAUCGGAUGGGAAAUGAGAUCACUCGACUUACAGCUGUGAAGGUAUUUCUUUUGCUCAUUUUUGUGACUGGGUGUGACUGUUCGUUUGCCAUCUGUAUGCUGAUGUCUAUUUUUUGGCCUUUCUUUUCUGAAGAUAUACAUUUGGGACUCCGUAUUAUUAUGUACAUGUGUUAAGUUUCUAAGACCUUAAGUGUUUUGCAUCCAGGCAUUUGCUGUCAUUGCUGCUUCUCCACUGAAAAUAGAUCUAUCAUGUGUGUUGGAGCAAGUGAUUGCAGAGUUGACUGCAUUCUUAAGGAAGGUAUGGAAAUUUUCUUAAUUUGUUGUUGAAUUCAUAACCUUUUUUACAAAAUGUUUUAUGAGAUUUUUCUUAGAAUCGCUCAAAGACCUAUGAAAUUAAUCUUAAUAUUCUUUGCCUUUGUGGAAAUCAGGCUAAUCGGCCUCUAAGACAGGCAACAUUGGGGACCCUGAAUUCCCUAAUUGUUGCUUAUGGAGAUAAAAUUGGCUCAUCUGCUUAUGAAGUUAUUAUUGUAGAACUUGCCACACUGAUAAGGUUUCUCUUGCUACUUCCACCAAUUUUAUUUUGUUCUUUUCAAAUUUUUGUGUGAUUGGUGGUUGGGUGGUUUAGUUUCUGAACCCUAGUGUCUAUCUAAUACCCAUUUCCAGUGAUUCGGACUUGCAUAUGACGGCCCUCGCCCUGGAACUCUGCUGCACCUUGAUGGCAGACAGGUCAAGCCCGGUUGUUGGUUUGGCUGUUAGAAACAAAGUUCUUCCGCAAGCACUAACGUUAAUUAAGAGCUCAUUGCUGCAGGGGCAAGCCCUUUUGGUAAUUUUAUCUAUCUAACUGGUGUUUUGUCUUGAUCUACAAACUUUGCACAUGUUUGAGAACAUUCUUUGUUGGAUAUUGCAGGCUUUGCAAAACUUUUUUGCUUCCUUGGUGUAUUCUGCAAACACAAGUUUUGAUACCUUACUAGACUCUCUGCUAUCAAGUGCUAAACCAUCUCCCCAGUCAGGUGGGGUUGCAAAACAAGCUUUGUAUUCAAUAGCUCAAUGUGUGGCUGUCCUUUGCCUUGCUGCUGGUGAUCAGCAAUGUUCAUCUACCGUGAACAUGCUAACUGAAAUUCUCAAAGAUGACAGCAGUACAAAUUCAGUAAGUUCCCCCCUCCCAAAAGAAAACAACUCAGUUAGGGUUAUCUUCACAGAUUACAGUGUUUUGGUUUUUGUAAGCAAAUAGGGAUGGACUAAUUAACUUUUCACGAUUUAUUAUUAUUUGGUAAUCUUAAAAAAUGAAGGCAAUUUGGUGGUAGGCAAACUCUCGUUAUAAAUUUGGGGUAGAUUGAUUGAAUCUAGUUGAUUUAUUGUUUUUUUUUUUGUUAAUGUAUAACUUUUAUUUGAGCCCAGUAUAAUUGCUUUCUUCAUAUGAUAUAGGCUAAGCAGCACCUUGCUUUGCUGUGUCUCGGGGAGAUUGGAAGGAGGAAAGAUCUAAGCUCCCAUGACCAUAUAGAGAAUAUUGUCAUUGAGUCCUUUCAAUCUCCUUUUGAAGAGAUUAAAUCUGCAGCCUCCUACGCUCUUGGCAAUAUUGCUGUUGGUAACCUGCUCAAGUAUUUGCCUUUUAUUUUGGACCAGAUUGACAAUCAACAGAAAAAACAGUAUCUCUUGCUUCAUUCUCUGAAGGAGGUGCAUUCUUCUGAACUUUAAGAGCCUGAUUUUGUUUCCUGAAAUGUUUUUUCUGUUGGGUUUAAGUUUAUUUCAACCAUUUUUCAGGUCAUAGUAAGGCAGUCUGUCGAUAAAGCAGAGUUUCAGGAUUCGAGUGUUGAGAAGAUACUUAAUUUACUUUUUAAUCACUGUGAAAGCGAGGAAGAAGGCGUUCGCAAUGUAGUAGCUGAAUGUCUGGGUAAAAUUGCACUUAUUGAACCUGCAAAACUUGUUCCUGCACUUAAGGUAUCUGGUCAAAUGACCCUGUGCCUUCUCCAUAAGAUUAUGAGUUGAGAUUAUUUGAUGGGUUGCAUAUCUAUGUUUCUAAUCCUAAUUCCCUAUAGGUGCGAACAACCAGCCCAGCUGCUUUCACAAGAGCUACUGUUGUCAUUGCAGUUAAAUAUUCAGUAGUUGAGAGGCCAGAGAAGAUAGAUGAGAUUUUAUAUCCUGAAAUCUCAUCAUUCCUGAUGCUUAUUAAGGAUGAUGACCGGGUAAGUCUCAGAUUUCUAGUGCUUGAUAAACUAAGUGUUUGGGUUUAUGCCAUCUUUUUUGUUUUUUCCCCCCUUGAUUGUUUCUCUUUUCAGUAUUGUUUUAUGUUCUAGGUUGGUUGACUUUGUGGUGACUGAUUUGCUAUGACUCCAUGCAGCAUGUUAGGCGUGCGGCUGUGUUGGCUUUAAGUACAUUUGCCCACAAUAAGCCAAACCUGAUUAAGGGGCUUCUUCCAGAGCUGUUGCCACUUCUUUAUGACCAAACUGUCAUCAAGGUUGGUGGAGUGUUUUGAAGUUUAUCUCUAUGUUACACAGUUGAUGCAUGUAUGAUAUAGAGUGCCUUUACAGAAUAUAGGACAUUCAUGGUAUUAAUACUGCUGUGCUCCAUGUUUUACGCGACACCACCUUCUAUCAUUCGUUAAUUUGUUUCCUGUGUUAUUCUUGAGUUGUUAUCUUAUUUAACAUGAAAAUUCUGGGUGCAGAAAGAAUUGAUCAGGACAGUUGAUCUUGGCCCUUUUAAGCACAUUGUGGAUGAUGGGCUUGAGUUAAGGAAGGCUGCAUUUGAAUGUGUGGACACAUUGCUGGACAGUUGUCUUGAUCAAGUGAACCCUUCAUCUUUUAUUGUUCCUUAUCUUAGAUCUGGUUUGGACGGUGAGUUUAGUUUUGGUUUAUGCAAAUUUGAAGAUGUAUGGUUAACAUGUGGUGCUUGUUAAAUUUAUUACCUUCCUAACUGAAUUGGAUUUUGCUUUUCCAGAUCAUUAUGAUGUUAAGAUGCCUUGUCAUCUUAUCCUCUCAAAGCUUGCGGACAAGUGUCCAUCUGCUGUUCUGGCCGGUCAGUUAAUUUACUGAUCUCACCCCCCCCCCCCCCCCCCCCCCCCCCCCCCCCAAUAUUCGGAUCGUCUGCAGUAUAUUAUGUAAUGUAAAAUUUUCUCUCCUUCAGUGCUGGACUCAUUGGUGGAUCCUCUCCAAAAAACUAUUAACUUUAAGCCAAAGCAAGAUGCUGUCAAGCAAGAAGUAGAUCGCAAUGAAGAUAUGAUUCGCAGCGCUCUUAGAGCAAUUGCAUCCUUGCAUCGUAUAAGGUUUCACCCUUUGCCUUUUAUCUAUGUCCUGAUGUAGGUUCUGCGUGAAAUUCUUGUGUGCAUUUGUUCGUCUUCUAUAGACUGGAGUGAUUAAGUAAAACAGAAAUAACUGUGGUCCUUGGCUAGGUGGUAAAGAGGUUGGAUUGAAUUAGGGCUUUGGAUUAGUCAGACCUCCUUUCCCCAGUAUUUUGCUUUCCUUUGCGUGCAUGUGUUUAUUUUGACAUUGAUGAAUCUUCUACUGCUUUGUUAUAUUUGUUUAUCCUGCAGUGGUGGAGAUUGCAGCCUUAAGUUCAAGAACCUUAUGAAUGAAAUCUCAAAAUCUCCAACACUCUCGGACAAGUAUUAUUCCAUCCGAAAUGAAUGAUGGACUUGUUGGAACUCGCCUGUCUUGCUGUCAUGUCAAGGUCGUACGCAGCGAACGAGAAAGAUUGUAUCAUUAUUUUGACAUGUGCGGGCUAAGCUUUUCUGCGGCAGAUUACAAGAUAGAAAGGUUGUAGCCCCCAUCCAUAUAUACGUGUUGUAAGGUGGGAUAGUAAGUUGAAAAUGUGAAGUUUAUAAUUCAAAGCUGCAUGCUGCAUGAACACAUGUUCUUAUCGUGGGAAUACCAGUUAUGGUGUCUUUCUUGUAUAGGUUCAAGUCAUUGCGUCGUUUUUGCCUUUGCAACCAACCAUCAUUUGGUUUGGUUACAUGAUAAUGUCACGAGCAGCAAACAAGUUUACUACUACAGAAACACAUGUAUUGCUGAACAGAACAGAUAUAGGGUGUGGAAUCAACGAGAUUUUUGUCAUUGAAUGUUUUAUUUUUGAAUUUACGUCUCAUUAAGUCAUCCAUUAUAUGCGUACAGUUGACGAAGCUAAUUUUUGAAUUUGUAAAUCUUAUCUUAUCUUAUCUUUUCUUUUCUUUUCUUUAAUCAGGUUGUACGUUUGGCCUUGGUAUGCAAUUUUUGCAGGCUUGAGUGAAAAUUCUUUCCCCAAUGGGAGAGAUCCUGUUUGCAAUUUGACUUUCCAGAGAAAACAUAUCACAAUAACACCGUAAUUCGAAAAUUCUAAAAAUUAAACGUACAUUUGAACCUUGAAACAAUGCAUGCAAACUGGUUUGCAAUUUGGAUUAGCGCUCCAUUAAUAUGAUAUUAGCAGUGGUAGUAGUAGUAGGCUGAAGGACCACAUUGUUAAGUGCAUCAAAAUUGUAGAUUAAUGAUGGGGAUAUGGCAUGAGGGGCGGGGGCGCAUGGAUCCCUAUAUAUAUAUUGCAUGUGCAAUUGCCUUAAUCUUUGCAUCAUUGCAUGUUGUAUUAGAACGAUUGGGCAAAACUAAAAUGGCACGAGAAAGAAAUGAACAAAGAAGACACAAUUGGUCAUCUUUCUUGGCUCCCACGUGAUCCCAAGAGCCCCAUUAACCUAAAAUAGGAUGAUGAUGCCUAUUUUUACCAAUAAUUAAAUUUCGCUCCCUCUUUAGUCUAUGCCUUAUUGACAUAUCCCGAGAAUAGGCAUUGCAAUUGGGAUGAGAAUGUCGUUAUUUUAACCAUUAACCAUUAUUUUCCCCCAUCUUUAAGUGUUGCUUAAGCUUUCUAAGGCGUUGUUUAUACAAUCCAACACAAAAUUAAGAUAUCAAUUCGAUUCAACAAUACAAAAAGAACGAGAGAGAAGGAUACUCGUUAUAAAAGUCGUCUCAUGCGUACACAAGAACCGCAUAUAAUAUAAGUAGGCAAAGAGAUGGAAUCUCACAAGCUAUCAAGAGAAUAUUAUUUUUGGAAAUACCCCCGUUCCUAAUUAUAAACGGAAUGGACAAAUCCAGGAGCUUUAUUACAUAUAGUAAAGCCCAUUUGGGCAAGUGUCUCAGUUCUAGUUGCGACCUUCCUCAAGUAGUAAUAAAAGUACACUGGCGUUCUCAUUAGCUUUCCUAUUUAAGCAACUCUUCCUUCUUUUGUAUUAUUCUGAGCAGUAAGUAACUCUUCCUUCUUUUGUAUUACAGAGAGAAGAGAAGCCGCCUUUACUGUGACUUUGUGUUAUGUUCAUCAUCUUCUUCUCUGACCUUUUUGUUUCACGUUCGGAUUCCUCUUCUUUGUUUUGUAGAAUAAAAAUCUACUAAUGCAAUGCAAGAGAUAAACAUAAACCCCAUGCAUAUAAAUCAUCAAAUGUUGGUCGAAAAUGGCUUUGCUUAUAUCCAUAUAUAUAAUUUUCUUGUACAGGUAGCAUUGACUAAAGAUUUGAGUUCUCAUGGAGGAAAUGCCAGGGACAGUUAGGCCAGGCAGAUCAGUCUCCUUUAAAACCCAGCACCAAUCAACUAACACAGUGAGUCUAAAGCCAGCAUAUAGACUUUUAUCUUGAAAAGUUUAAAUAACAAACAAGAGAAAUUGACUUCCCAAUUAUACUGUUGAUUAGAAUGGGAAGCUGGAGUCUUGGCACAGAACAGAACAAUGCUUACAGAGAAAACAAAAAACGUUGUCUUCUUCUUCUCGCUGCAGCUCUUCGGAGAUUCCACAGAUCCCCGUCCAUGCCAUGGAGUUUUUAUGUCGCUCAUGGAGCCCAUCAGCCUAUAACUUUCAGCAGAUGUUUACAUCAAGUGUGAGAGAGUCUUCAAAUUCUUGGCACUUUGCAUGUAUCAUGUAUAUCUUGUCUUCAAGUUCAUAUAAAUAUGACGUUAAUUUUUACAGGACUUGUUUGGUUCACAUGACAACUGGACCUCAGGGAAACAGGAAGACACGUUCAAUUCAGGGGAACCAGAAGAGAAACUGGAGAUACAAGUCAUAGAUGAGUUGCCAUCCCAAACUAGUACUAGAAGCCCUAUGAUCAGUAGGGUGGAUGACACGAUAUGGGUAAUUAGUUCUCUCUCUCUCUCUCUCUCUCUCUCUCUCUCUCUCUCUCUCACACACACACACACACACACACACACACACAUGUGCACUUCAAAAUGACCCGUCUAAUUAGGAAAUCUCUCUCUCUCUCUCUCUCUCUCUCACAGAUGAACUCCAAGCACACAAAGGGAUGGUUAGGAGGCAAAUCCUUAAUAAGCAUAUUCGGACUGCAGAGAGUGAAGAAGAAAGAUGAUAUUCGACUUCACACAGCAAGCGUUCAUGCAGCCCUUUCUGUCACACGCUUGGCUGCAGCUAUUGCCAGCGUUGCUUCCAACUGCAAGAACAGCAGCAUAGAAUCAGCGGAAGACGUCGACCCCAUUACAGGUGACAUCGUUGCUUCUGCCGCAGCUCUGGUUACCACGGUAUGUGCUGAAGCCGCAGAGUCAUUGGGUGCACAGAAAACAAAUGUUUCUUCUGCCAUCAACUCCGGCUUGGCUAUCCAAACAACCGACGACAUGAUCACACUUACAGCUGCUGCUGCAACAUGUAAUGUUUUGAUCAAUGUUUCCUUCACCAUAAUCUUCAGAUAACCCCUCCUCUCUCUUUUUCUCCCAUAAAAGACACACGUUAACUAACUCGAUGACAAGUUGCCAGGUUUAAGAGGAGUUGCAGCGCUCAAAGCAAGAGCUACGGGCAAUGCCUACUUUCCAAGAAGCCAAAAUUUGCUUCAAGUAAAAGCCGAGCUAUCAGUUGUCACUCCUUCUGGUAAAAGAAAAUGCAAGGACAGAUUUUUAAUAUAACACCUUUGCUUUUGCUGUUAUAUGAAAAAAUAAAGAUAGAUUCUUGUUUGUGCAAGCAGGAAGCAGAACAUACGGGUGGGCCUGCAUAUAUUCAAAGCAUAGUCAGCUCAUGCUUAGCCUCCAAAAGAAGCAUCUGGGAUUCUUAGCCACAAGAAAGGAAUGUAAGAUCAAAGGCUUCUGAUUUUGUUUUCCUGUUUCUUUCCCCUGAACUACGCUUUUAAUUAUUUAUUAGAAUUGUGAAGUAAAACUUAACGCUUUGCAGACAAGAUUUUGCACGUGAUGGAGGGAACCCAGGAAGCUCAGGGUCAGGGCAACCUUUCAAUCAGCCUAAGGAGCAACAAUGGAAAUAUCAAGCUCUUGUUUAAAGAUGAAACUCAGUCUUUAGUUUGGACGUCAAGCAUCUCUAGUCUCUUACAGAUGCAUAAUUGAUGUCAUGUAAACCUAACCUAUACAGGCUUAUAGCUUUUAAUAAUCAAACUCGUCAAUGCAUAAUGCUGGUGUUUGUUAUAUACAUCAAUUUCAUGUGCAUAAUGCCGGUGUUUAUUUCUUGCUUGAUUUCAUGUGCAUUCGUCUUAUAGAUCAAUCAUCACACGACAUACCUUCUUCUCAACAAAAAUGAUACCAAGCUCAAAAUGGCAAUAAACAACAAUACACUGCAACAAAAGCAGAUUCUUGGAGUAUACAAACAGAGAUACGAGAUUCUCCUCUAAAAACAUGACUUCAAAAUACGCAAGUAAAAGAUUUCAUGAGCUUUUCUGCACUGUAUAUCUGCAUUUGUGUUUGACCGGUUUCUUUUCGUUGCUCGAUACUGACAGAGUAACUACAUUGACAUAGCUAAAUCCAUGCUACACAACCUUUACGACCCUUGGCCAAAAGGAAGAGAGUAGCUUGCUGCCCAAUAAUACAGAAAAUUGAAGUAAUAAGAGCACAGUAAAUUUAAUUUUCUUUCUCAAGACAUACCAAUUUUCUCGCUUAAAACUGCCACAAGGAGCACCAAAACUUUUGCUGAUCACUCAUACUAACUUGAUUCACUGCAGACCAUAAGAAGAACUGCCUAUCAAUAUAAAGAUUUUUUUCGUCAUCAGCAAAAAGGCCAUGUAUUUUGUUUCUCAACCUUCCUAUAGUAAAGCAAACGAUAUACAAAUGGCAUGAUUGAACAAUUCUUACUUCCAAAAUACAGGAGGCAUAAUUUACAAGAAGAUGAAAACCAAGAAUAAGACUUUAUAUCAGCAGAAAUGAAAUGUAAAAACUCUUGCGUUUUCUCUAUGUAUGUAAUCUAAAAGUCUACCAGGCGUGAUCUUCCACACAACUUGGGUAUCUCCUCAUUUCUCUUCAAACUCAACAUCAAUAAUCUCCGGUUCUGAUUUCGACGAAGACGGACCUCUACCAUCUCUUGAAAAGAAGUCCCCUUUUGGCUGCCACACAGUGUUUCCGCAGCUUGCACAACGAAUUACUUGGUUCUUGUAACCAACAAAUUGCCUCUUGCAAGCUGGACAAGCCCCCUGUACAAAUUUGGUGCAACAAACACAAUUAGCCCUAUAAAGAACUAUCUGAUUGGUAACAUUACAAAGUUGAAUUGCCAUAAAACUCACUCAGUUUAGUUGCAGACUUCGCAGCUAGUAUAAUUAUGAAAUAUGAUGAGACAUACCCAGUAACACUAACACAAACAUUAACAUAUUCAACUUGUAGCAGCAGGCAGCUAGUAAUACCUUAAUAACAAGGUUAUUGGCAACCGCUCCAAUGACCAGAGGAGCAGCAAAUGGCAGUACCCAUGUAGCGAAUAUCAAUAACCGAAAAAGCCAUCCGGAUAAUGCAAACCACAGGAAGAAGAUUGUCUUCAAAAUCAUUCAAAAAAUAAAAAUUAGUUGAAUUAGUUGAACAUAAACUGAAGACCAUAACACAAUUGUAGCAAAUGUUAACUUACCGCAAAACUUCUUCCCAAUGGGGUUUCCAGGAAAUCAUUAAGCUGCUUCCUGUACUGCACAAAUUGCAAACACCAACCAAACAAGAACUCAGUAAACACAACACCACGUCGUAUCCAUAUACAUAAUAGAGCAAAAUGGUAAAAGCGAUAGAACAAACCCUAGGCAAAUUUCUGCUAAAAUCCAUGCUAAAGGCGCGCCAGCGAGUCCCAAUCUCGAGGUCUCUGUCAAUUUCACGGGCGCGAGCGGCGGCGGACUGAGCGAUGGUGUCGAAGCGGUGCGAAAGGGCGUAUCGGCGGUCCAAGCGCUCCGCCGUCUUCUUGGCCUCGAAUAGGAACCGCUCGAAUCCGUCGUUGGCGCUCCGCCACGCGUCCCUCGCGAAGCUUCCGAUGUCGCUUCGCCCGAAGGCCCGGAUGUUCGACACCUGGCGGGGCCCCAUUGGGAUUGUGCCUCUGCUGUUGUUGGGCCUUCUCGCCCUCCAUGGAAGUGGUGCUACUGCUUGAGGGCAACGAAGAGUUGUGGCCAUUCUGAGAUGAUGGACUACGUUUGAAGAAAGAUAGAAAGAGCCUCUCGAAGCACUUCUACUUCAACUGCACUGUGAGCUUCGUCUUUGUACGGUUUGGCUGAGCAAGCUCCAAGCCUACAACGUCGAUCAAUUUUCUUCUUCCGAAAUUCACUCAAAUACAACACGACACUCGACUCUAUCUGGAAAAUCUAUAAUAACGACAUGCCGUUUAUUUAUAAUCAGCCACAAAUAGAACGACAUAUCGUUUUUAUUUAUCUCUUUCUCUUCACGUAUGAAUUACUAAUUAGGCUGUGGGGUGAGAGUUUAUCAGUGAGACUGAGAUUGAAACUUUGGCGGGGGGUGCUAGGGCAUAUUUCGGCUGAUCCAAAUCAAAUCGAUAUUUCAAUUUCGUCCUUGUAAUUCCUCUUGGGUUGCCAUGGAAACCCCCAAAAUUGACCCGCCUUUGAUUCUCGAUCGUACCUCUCGCGCCACCAGAGGGAAGAGGUAACUAAAGUUCAAUAACUGGGUUAAUGAAUUCGAUUGAUUUGAGGUUCAAGCAUUUUUUUUCGUUUUACGAUUUUCAGAAUGACCAAAUUACUUGAUGAGGAAAUCGAAGAGGACGAGAUGUUCUGGAAUCAGGAGGCUCUUAAAGAGGUGUGUUUUACUGUAACCUCUUCUUUCGUGCAUGAACAAAAAAAAGUCUGAAUUUAGUCAAAUAUUUAUAGUUACCCUUAUGAAUUUUAUAUUCUGGUAGGAUGAAGAGGAUGGUAACUAUGAAGCAGAGCCUGAGGUUGCAGACGAGUUUGAUAGUGACUUCGACGAAGAUGUGAGUUUUUUUCUUGGAUUGUUCACUUCAAAUGUUAGUUUCCUACCAGUUCUAUCUUGCUUAGACUUGCUUAAAUUGUUGGUAGGAGCCAGACCCGGACGAAGGAGUAGAAAACAACGAGGCAGAGGAAAGGUUGAGUUUUGCUUACCCCAAUGACAUUUAGAUUUCUUUUACUCAGAAUUUAGUUAAAUUCAAUGAAUUAUAAUUACAGAGUUCGGACAAAGAAGCGGUUGAUAUUUCCGGGAAAGCAAUCAAGCAAGAAGAAGAAGAAGAAGAAAGUGCUAACGGAAUUAGAGAAAGAAUCUAAGGAUGAAAAUGAGAAAUCUUCCCAACCUGAACAGCAUCACGAUGCUCCUGAGGAAGGAGAAGGAGAGAGAAUCGUGAGAAAAUCUUCAAGAACUUCAGUGAUUAUCAGGCAAGCCGAGAGGGAUGCAAUACGUGCGGCUUUGCAAGCAACCAUGAAGGUCAGUUUUCAAUAGCAUUUGAUGUUGAAUCUACUCCAAAUUCUGAUUACAGACCGGUGGUAUUUGUUUGUGAGAUCAUUGCGUUGAUUAACAUAUCAUACUAUUUUUAAUGAAUAUAAAUUUUCUUUUGCACUAGCCGAUAAAGAGAAAAAAGGAAGGCGAGGAGAAGAGGAUGACCCAAGAAGAGAUGCUUUUAGAAGCAGCUCAAACAGGUUUGUACUUUAAGCCUCAAUAUUCGUAAUUAGUAUGUGAUUUGAAUUGCUGGGUACUUAUUUAUAUUUACUUGAAAUUGAAGCUGGCUGUAUCUAAACUUGAAUUGUUACCUGCAAAACUUCAGAAAUUAUGAACUUGAGGAAUUUGGAGCGUGUUCUAGCAAGGGAGGAAGAAGUUAAGAAAAGAGCAAUUGUGCACAAAGCUGUCUAUACUGGCCCGCAAGUACGAUAUUUCUCAAAAGAUGGUAUGCUUUCAGCUUUACAAUAUUCUGAUCUUUUCAUUUUCUUUUUUGAAAAAUAUAUACUGUUAGUAUACACAAAUUUGAUCAUUGUGGCAAUAUCAUUCUCUGAUAAAGAAAUUUCUAAACUACAUUUCUUUAGGUUGCUCAUAUCUGGAAUUCAGUAGAGGAUUAUCAUUUCAGUCUGAAAUCUCUACCACGACUGCUCCCUGUAAGUGAUAGUUUAGAUGAAUGUGUCGCUCAGGGAUUUAUUUUUUAUUUUUUAUGUUUUAUGUUUCAUAACAAUGUUUUUUAUGUUUUUUUUUUUUUAAAUUUCCAGACCCUGAGAAAGCUGUUUGUGCAGUUACUGGUUUACCUGCCAAGUAAGUGCCUAUAUUUGAUGUCAUGGUUUCUGCUGUGUGUGUGUGGGUGUGCUUGCGUGUGUGAGCAUGUGUGUGUGUGUGUGUGUGUGUGUGUGUGUGUGUGUGUGCGUGCGUGUGUGUGCGUGUGUGUGUGUGUGAGAGAGAGAGAUUGAAAAGAUUGAUUGUUAGUUGUUAGUGUAUCACGGCAAUUGUCCACCUCUUACAUAAUGCACUAAUAAGCAUGCUGUUUGAUGAAUGAAUGUGUGGUGCUAGGUAAAUGAUGAUAAAUGUUAGAGCAGUUCUGAGUGGCCAUGGAGAGUGUGAGGAUUGAUGGUGUUGGAAACAUACAAUUAUUUAGGUUAAGCUGGCCAUCUUGUAUAAUACGUCCACUUAAUGAAUUUAUUUGAUGUUGCAGGUACCGUGAUCCAAAGACAGGGCUACCUUAUGCAACAAAAGAAGCUUUUAAAAUUAUUCGCCAGCGGUAUGGUUUUCCAUGUAUGAGAGUUAAUUGUGUGACACUAAUGGGCUUUUUCUCUUUACAAGGCGUUAGUUUCUGUCUUGUGAUUUUAAUAUCCUGCUCUUCAGUUAUGUUUGACAUCCAAUUUAGAUUCGUUUACAAUUUUGUUGUUCUUGAUUUUCAGGUUUCUACUUGAAAGUGGUCGGGUCAGGAAAGAGAUGGACCUGGGAGAUUUGCACGAUUCACUUUCUGGGAAAGGGUUUUUGGCAAGGCGGAAGAGAUCAGUGUCGUCAAAUAAAAUUGAUGUGUCGUAUUCACGUUACUUUGCACGUUUCCGCAGAAUUCCGGCCCUUGAAAGUGAAUCUUCUGAUUAACUUCCAUGGUAAUCUGAAGAGUUGUUUGCUGCGUGCAUUUUUAGAAAAGGAAGAAACGUUAUGUACUUUUUGGGCGGAGGCCUAAUUAUUAAAAUACAAACAAGGAUCUUAUUUGUCAUCUUCACGAGGAAAGCGAUAAAAGCUCUAGGAAGAAGGCGGCUUGCAGACUAUAGCAUUAUCCUGUUGUGUGUAAGUAUUUCAAUUGUAGUAAAUUGCAAGAAACUUGUUGACUUAUCUUAAUUUGAGAUAUAUGAUUGAAUUUGUGUGCAUUUAGUUUGGCAGUAGUGUUCCAUGCUGCCAUGGUGCAAUCCAAGACUCGAUCAUGCUUGCAGGGAACGCCCGUGUCCAAAAACCACUGUGUUAUAAUGAAGAGCGUAUGACUUGCAACAGGAGGAAAGCCUGGGUCCUAGCAUAUCCAAGACAUUACUAUUAUGUAAUUAAAGUAAUUGUUAGAUGUCACGUUGAUCAUUGAAAGCUCUUUUCUGAGUGUAUUUUGUUGCUGACAUAUGCCGCGCAACAGAGAAUUUUGUCCAGUUUUGGCUUUCUAUUAAUCUGGUCAUUUCAAUUUUCUGAGAGGGAAGAAGUUGGUUUUUAUAUCAUUUUAUGAAUUAAUUUUUCUGAGCGGGAUAAGCUGAUCAUAAACAUUUUCUGGCCAAAAAUAAAAAGAUAUUCACUUUUCUGGUAACAUUUCUUCAAUCAGUGUGUAGUCUAUAUUAUACUGCUUUAAUCCAAAAUAAUAAAACCAUUCAAGUAUUGAAAAAAAAUUAUAUAUAACUGGAAUUAGAAGCUACUUGUAAACGAAGAAAAGACCCGCUUUUGGUUUGACGGACCCACCCGCCCCAACGCUUCAUCUCCCGCCUAUAUCUAUCUACUACUUUACUGUACCUGAUGCGAACGAACCCCUUGAGUUGAGAAGAAAAAUAAGAGAAAAGCCCUAAAGGGAAGGCGGUGCCCAGAGAGAGAGAGAGAGAGAGAGAGAGAGAGAGAGAGAGAGAGCUUCAAUGGUUGGCUCCAAUUUCAAGAUUGGCGACGAGGUGGAGGUGACCAGUCCAAUCCACAAUAUGCGUGGCACUCUGUUCCCGGCAAAAAUCAUCGGCAAGUCGAGAGAUAAAACCAAGUUGAAAGUUGAAUAUAACAAAGUGAAGGCCAAGAUUGAUGGCAAUCUAGGCAGGAGGAAGAGGCACCAGCAGCGCAACGAGGUGGAGGAAGAGGUGGACGUGGCGCUCAUAAGGCCCUUGCCGCCCGAAGAAAGUAAGUACUGCUGCUUCAAGUUAGGCGACGUCGUUGAUGCCUUCUUCUGUGGCGGGUGGUGGGAGGGAGUCAUCACUGAUGUUAUGAAGGACUCGACGUUUGGGAUUUAUUUUCGGUUUGCCAAGGAGGAGUUUGAGUUUGAGUCGGAGGAGCUCAGGCUUCACCGGGAGUGGGUCAAGGGCUCUUGGCUUCCACCUCUUCAACAAGGCGUAAGUAAUGAAUCGCCUUUUUCUUGAUUGCCUUUUUUUUUUUUUUUUUUUUCUUGGUGUGCCAUUAUUCAAUUCAAGCGAUAAUAUUAAUAUUGCGGUUUUCUGUGAUGAUUUGCCCUCCAUGAUUGUUUUGUUACCGGAUAGGAGAUAUGAGAAGCAUUUGGUUUUAGUUUUGGUUUAAAGCCCGAAGAAUGAAUAACUUUUGUUAUUACGUGCUUUUCCCAUGAUCUAUUUCGUAAUUUGGGUAUGUAUUUUCCUAGUAUGAAAAUUUACGGGUGUUCUGUUCUGUUCUGUUCUGCUUUGAAAUAAUAUAUGCGCAUAUUGUAAAGAGCCUUUUCUUUUCCUUUCUACUUUUUUUUCUUCCAUUUGGCUUGAGCUGGGAAUCGGAGGACCAGUGAUCAGCUGACCUUUGAACUAGUUUCAUGGGACUAUAGUCAGGGGAUAAGGCGAAAAACCAAUAUUAUUGUUAUUGAAUUGUGGAAAACUUGAUCUUAGUCGAGAAUGAUCGACAGAGAAAGAGGUAGUAUAUUCAUGACAGACUUCCUGAAAACCAUGUUUAGUGCCAAAUACCCCGUUAGCUGCUUUGCUAUUCUUUGGGAGAGUAUACGAACCUUGUUUUCCCUCCUAUUUUGCUUGAUCUGUUGGCCAGUCUCCUCCUUCCUUGACAUAUAGCUUAUGUUGGAUUAGAAGAUUGGAUUGCUUGAUUCUGAGAAUGUUUGAAAGAUUUAAGACCGGUCUUUUGCCCUCCUGCAGUUGAGAAAGAGUGGUAGAUUUCUACUUUUUCCUUUGAUUAUUCGUGUUUAAAAAAUAAAAUAAAAAACAAGUCUGAAUCAUAUGAGUUUAAAGGUUGAACAGGUCGAUUUCAUGAACCUUGUCAAAUGCAACCAAGUGUAAAGAAUAUGUUUGUAGGCCUUCUCUUUUGAUUAAGGAAGUUAUAUCAAUGGUUAGACAAUUAUUACAUGUUGUGAAUUAUCUCCAAAUGAGUUUAAAGGUUGAACGGUCAAUUUCAUAAACCUUGUAAGACGCAACCAAAUGUUUCUGAUGUCUUGUUUAAUAGUUGAACAUGUAGAGUGUAUUUGAUAUGAUCAUUUACUUUUUUCAUUAUCUAGUUUUAUCUCCUAUUUUGUGGAUUUCCUCUAUCUUAUUUUAAUUGAAAUGCAAACUCCUCAAAACUUGGACUGCAGGAUGUCUCAACUACCGAGGAACCAAAGCUCUGGAUGAAAGAGGACUUUGUACAAGGAACACAAGUUGAGAUUUGCACUGAUGAAGAUGGAUUUCAAGGUGCUUGGUUUGCUGCAAAUAUUGUCAAAGUAAUGGGGAAGGACAAAUUUCUCAUUCGAUAUAAGAGCAUAAAAACAGAUGAUGGUAAAGAGUUCUUGACAGAAGAGGUCGAUGCACAGCACAUAAGGCCUUGUCCACCUGAAACUGUUGUGGUUGAAAGUUUUAGUCUGAAUGAAGAGGUUGAUGCUUUCUAUAAUGAUGGAUGGUGGGAAGGUGUGAUCCGCAAGGUCCUUCGUGGGCCAAGGUACAGAGUUUACUUCAAAGGUACAAAAGAUGAAUUGCUGUUUGAGCACUCUGAUUUGAGACCACGCCAAGAUUGGAUAGAUAGAACAUGGGUUAUGGCUUCUCAGGUAUAACUUCCAAAAACUUUCCUUACAAUCUGUUAGUCAAGAUGUUCAGCUGAAUAUGUUAGAUCACAAACGAAUUUAGGUUAAAAUAAGAAAAGAAGAAUCUGCCUAGAAGUUUCUUAUAUACUUGUGGCCAAAGUGCGCAAACACCCGGAAUCUAAACAUGUCAAAUUUAGGUAACACUCAGCUGCAUUUUUACAGCUAUCCCGUGGUUGAAGUUAACCAAACCCUUAGUAAUUCAUGACAGUAUGUCUUGUGGACUAACGUAUCAGGAACUAGGGAGUUAUUUGAUGUUUGAACUCUGAACUAAAUUAUGCUUGAUAUUUUCUUCCUUUCCAAGUUUCAGUAAGGUAUCUGGCAAUGAUAACUAUUGUGUAUGGGGGACAACUAAUUUCUUAAGUUAUUUAACAUCCUGAUACCGGCUUGCUGACAACAAUUUUUUUGUCAGGCAUUGAAGCAUUGAGUGCAGAACAAAAGCGAGAUACUAACCACUGAGCAUUUGCAGCAUUAUUUGCACAUUUCAUAUAUGGCACAUUGUCAAUCUGGAAGUUUCAUUGCUGAAAGCAUUUGGUUAGGACAUGUUCUCCAUCCUAUCCAUGUUAAGUGUAAAACUGAUGGUUCUUGGUGUGUUUGGUAUUAGAUUUGGAAGUCCUAUGAAGAAGAAACCUUGAAACAACCAUUUUUUUUCUUUUGUAGUUUUUGAAAGAGAAACAUUAAACUUACUCGUACGUGUUGCUGUUCCAUCUUUGUAAUUAAAUGGGGUUUUGAGUUUGCGGACAGAUUAUGUGAUUUGGGAUUGCACCGUUUCACAUCAUUGAUGAUGUGAAUGAACAGUUGAAGCGGACUUGGAUCCAAAUACUUGAAGGAAACGAAACCACUGCAUAUAGCAACCAAGCAACCUAAACGUCCUGCCUGAUCUACUUUCACGUCUCAUUUUAUGAUAACUGCAUCUAACUGGGAACGGUUAUAGACAAACGCAGCCUUGGGGACAACUCUUUUUGUUAACAGCCUUGUCCCAACUUCGUAACUGAAACAACUGAAGGCAUCGGGCAUUUCUGAAAAGCGAAAUUGAGAUGACAGACUCUGGAUAUUCCAUCAACCAAUGCGAGCAUAGCAUUAACGUACCUUCCUUUUACGCAAUGUGUUGAAGAUAAUAGUCAUGCGGUCAAUGCAAAUGCUUUAGCCUUACAAUUGAAACCAAGUGACAUAAGAUGAACCAAAUUACAAAACCAUCCGCAUUAAUCAAAUAAGAAGCUUUAAUAACCAUAAAAUCUUUAACUUCCACGAAUUUAAGUGACAUUACAAACUCUAAAAUUGUCAUGUCCAGUAAACAGAUCAAAACCUAAAACGAAACACCUUCCAAAACAAAACCAAAUUUUAAGGGCUCAUUUAAAGGGUCCAGGCUCUCUCUACUUCUUCUCUUCCUUCUCAGCCUCUGCUGCCUUCUUAAGCCUGGCACCUACAUGACGUUGGUUCAUCCUUUCCACACGGAGUUUGUCAUAUGCCUUGAAUGAUUUCAAAUCAUCAGUAACCUUCACUAGCUCAACGGAAGGCUUCUCCCGUGCAAUUGGAAGGUAGGAACCUUGGAGCUGGGUGGCAUUAGCAAGUUCCUCUGGGGCAGAAUCACCAGCCUGUGGCAAAAAAAUGAAUACAUACCAGAUGAGAUAUCAUGCAGACAGCAAAUAAACAUUCUUACACUAAUCCAAUCAACCAUUUAACAUCACCUUGAAUUUGCCAGCACGUCUUGGGAAGACAACUAAUUUGGCCUUGUAUGUCUUCAGUCGCUGCACAUUAGCUUGAAGACCCUCAAGAGAACGAUUCUUCCUACGAUGAUCAACUGCGAUCCCAAUGGUUGGUGCAAGUUUCUUUGGUAUCCCAGCAGACUGGUAAAACAUGAUACAAAAAAGCGAGAAACAAGGUUACAUAUUUAUUUUUAUAACACGGCAGCCUGUAAUGAACUUCAAGAAACUCCUAAAAUACAAGCUGGACAAAAUCUACAGUACAUUUUUCAUAAAUUCAAAGUGGAAAACACAGAGCGAGGCAAUGAGCAAAAGUUCAAUGGUCCUUGAUCAAAUAUAUCAGCAAUCCAUAAGAAAUAGCAGAAAUGCCAAAGGUUAUAGCAUUGUGGUAAAACCAAUAAACUUACCUUCAACUCUUCCAAAGUAAAGCCCCUACCAGCCCUAAUUUUCAUGUUAUACUUCAAAGUCUGUCCAUGAACAAUUGGACGGAGAGGUCCAGCAGUUGGGCGAGGGAAGAUUUUGACAGCCUUCUUUUGGCGAGCUGAUGACAUUUCAGAAAUAUUCAAGUCAAAUUAUAAAUUACAUGUAAAACAAAGAAACAAGAGAGGUGAUAGAAAAAAUACUGUUACUCACCAGUUCUUCUCCUGGUCUUCCUGGCAGGUUGGUUAAACCAAGUCUUGACAUAAUUCUGCCAAUGUUUCCUGAAGUGGGAGCUAGGGAUAACGUUGUUGUGCUUCACCAUGGCUCACCUGUAAACUAGUCACCUAAGUCGGAAUUAACUACAAUGUGCACAAAUCAUACAACGAACAAAAAAUGCAAUAUAGAUUCUUCUGAGAGCGCUAAGAACAAAUAAAUACCCAAAAAACAGAUUCAUACAAAUUAUAAUAAAAUAGACGCAUCCUCUAUAUUCUGCCACAGUGCAUAAAAUGCAAGACAUAUGCCAAACAGAUAUAAAGAACAAAUUAAGAAAAAAACUGCACCUUCUAAGAAAUAAUAAACGCUACAGAUCUAAGCAAUAGCUAAUUCAAGUAUACGCUUGAGAACCCAAAAAACACAUUAAACAAAAGCUUGCUUAAAACUCAGAAGCUCAGUUAUGGCUAUCAUUUUUUGUCUUUCAUGGAACGAAAGAAGCAAUUGACAUGAGACGCCGAGUAGUCAUAAAUCUUCUAUAGAAACAAACAGGGGGAAAGAAUAGCGAGGGAAAACCAAACCUGAAAUCGCCGCCGAGGAAAAUGCAGAUGAACCUCCUCUUCCUUUCUCUCUCUCUCGCGGCUGCAAGAAUGACUGUGUGCUCUAGGGUUUCUUGGAUUUUAUAAUGGCUGAUAUGAGUCUAUUUUCGUAUUGGGUCGGCAGUGUUGGGCCUUGUCCUUUCCCACAGUUUCCUUCUUAAAAAUCAACUGGCCAAACUUCGAUCGUAAGUUAACUAAGGCCCAUUAAGGCCCAGCCCAACACAAGAAGAUGGCCCAAAAUUUUAUUUACGUUUUCGUUUUCCUUGCUACCUUUGUUUUUGCUGGUGGUUGUAUUAGCUUUGUCUUUCAAUGAAGUUUCCUUGUUACCUGUGUUCUGGUGUAGCCUAUUAUUUCUGUGUGUAGCCCCAUAGCAUAUUAUAGUAAAAUGCAAGAGUUGCACUAAUUUGAAUUUGAUGGUGGAACCUGUUACCUGUGUUCUGAACUUCUGAACUUCUGGUCUAGCCUAGCCGUUGGAAACAUAAUAAUGGACACCACACCACUGACCAGGGAAACUUUAUCAAACAGGCGAGUUUUCGGUGCUGCUGCUGCCACUUGAGCAAUGAAACAUAUUUUCGAGUCAUCUCAUCUUUUGUCAUAUAAUAAUAGAGUUGUAUUUCACCUAAUUUUUUAUUUAUUUAAUACAAGCGAUAGGAAAUGAGAAAUAAUUUUCCUUGUCUCUUUCUCAAGGGAUGGAAAAUGAAAAAUUCAUUUAUCAUGUUUGGUAAUAGUAGGAAAGUAAUAAGGAAAUACCACUUUAUUUCCUUUCACAUGUUUGGUUUGCAUAGGAAUGUAAAACAAAGUUUGUUUAAUUUUUAAAUUAUGCUCAUAUAAAAUUAAAUUAUUAAAAAAAAAGAAUGCAUUUAAUUAUAUAUUGUAAUUAUAAGUUGUUAAUGGAGACAAAAUUAUCAUUAAAAAUGUGCAUUUAAUAUUUGCUCAUUUUCCCAAACUUUUUCAUGAUGAGGGAAAAGAAAAUCCAACGAGGGAGAAUGGCUUCAUUUUUCCCCAUUUUCUCAUGUGCAAGACAACCAUUUUCCAUGCCAUAACUUACCAAAUAUGAAAAGCAAUUGAUUUGUCAUUUCCAAGCCUCAUUUUCAUUCCCAUGAAUCAAAUGAGGCCUAAAGAGAAUGAGGUAUUAUCCUCAUACACACACGUUGUCAAGAUAUCAUAGAAAUUCGAACUUGAAACUACUGAUGCCAAUGUCACGUCUAGCACACUUGGGUUUGACUUGGGAAGUUUCAAAUGGGCUUGUGAUUGGGCCAGCACACUUGGGUUUGACCUGCAAAGUGGGCCGCCUGAUUGGGUCAGCCUCCAGUGUCAGUCAUCUUAUUCUAAUUCUAAACUCCAUCUUUUUACGCUUUUCACCCCGUUAAUUGUCAAAUUAUAAUCAUCGUCAUUCCACAAAGCAAAAAAGCAGUGCCUGAAGCGCCUUGUACAGCCAAAGAAAAACAAGGCAGAAAAGCAAAGCCUAACCGUUUUGUUAACACAAGGACAUAGAUAGAGAUGCUGAUGCAGUCCAUUUUGGGUCGCAAGUCACCUUCACUUUCAUCUACAGGUGCCUUCACUCCUCUCCCUUUGUUGUGCUCAAGUUGUCUCAAAUACUCUGAUACAUACAAGUUCCAUGGUUCUUUCACUCACUCAAAGCGCAGAAAGGGUGUGAAAGAAGUCAAAUUCAUAGCAUUAACUGAUCAAAACCAUGCAACUACUAACUGCCCAAAUGGUGAGGAACUCUCUGGUGAGUCAUUCAACCAUUUGAUAAGUGAUUUUUGUAGAGCAGGGCAAAUUGACAAGGCCAUGGCUCUUCUUGCUGAAAUGGAAGCUCUUGGGGUUCGACCCAAUUCAAUGUCUUACGCUCAUUUGAUUGACGCUCUUGGAAGUACUGGCAGGACUUCGGAGGCUGAUAUGUUGUUUCAGGAAAUGAUAUCUUUUGGGCUUAGGCCAAGAAUUAAGCUUUACAAUGUUUUGCUCAGAGGGUUUUUGAAGAAAGGCCUCUUAGGACUGGCAAUUAGAGUUUUGGCGGUAAUGGGUGAUUUUGGGGCCGAGAAAAAUCAAGAGACAUAUGAGAUUCUUCUUGAUUACUAUGUCAAUGCUGGGAGGUUGGAAGAUACUUGGUCAAUGAUUAAUGAGAUGAAGCGGAAGAGGUUUCGGCUAAGCUCAUUUGUGUACAGUAAGGUUAUUGGUCUUUACAGGGACAAUGGAAUGUGGAAGAAAGCAAUGGACAUUGUGGGCGAGAUAAGGGAGAAGGGGAUGACAUUAGACAAACAGAUUUACAACAGCGUUAUUGAUACAUUUGGGAAAUAUGGUGAGGUGGAUGAAGCUUUGGAAGUGUUUGUGAAAAUGAAACAAGAAGGUGUAAAGGCUGAUAUAACGACGUUUAAUUCCUUGAUACGGUGGCAUUGUAAGGCUGGUGAUAUAAGUAAGGCACUUGAGUUGUUAACUGAGAUGCAGGAACAGGGGUUAUAUCCUGAUCCAAAGAUCUUUGUCACCGUUAUCAGCCGACUGGGGGAGCAGGGGAAGUGGGAUAUGAUACAGAAGACUUUUGAGAAUAUGAAACGCCGAGGACAUGAGAAAAGUGGGACCAUUUAUGCUGCUUUGGUUGAUAUUUAUGGGCAAUAUGGAAAAUUUAAGGAUGCAGAAGAGUGUAUAUCUGCCCUAAAGGCCGAAGGUCUUAUUCCUUCAGCCAGCAUGUUUUGCGUCUUAGCAAAUGCCUACGCUCAGCAGGUUUUCUGCCCCUUCCAAAUUGUUUUCACUUAAUGCACCGACAUCUGGUCCCAUAAUCUCAUUCUUUUUUCGUUAAUGCAGGGAUUAUGCGGACAGACAGUUAAGGUACUUCAGCUCAUGGAAGCUGAGGGAAUUGAACUGAAUGUCAUAAUGCUGAAUGUGCUGAUGAAUGCAUUCGGUGUUGCUGGUAGACAUUUAGAGGCUUUAUCCAUUUAUCACCAUAUAAAUGAAAGUGUAAGUCUUGUUUUUGCAUAAAACUUGUCUAGUUGCGGGUGAUAACUUUUUCAGAUAUAUUGAAUUUCUUCAACCAAUACAGUUCUCUCAUGGUACUUGCUGCUGAGUUGCUAAUGGUGAUGGUUUUGUUGUUUCUGAAGGGUUUUAGCCCUGAUGUGGUUACGUAUACUACCCUCAUGAAGGCAUGUAUUCGGGCAAGGAAGUUCGAUAAGGUACUAUAUAUUCUUCAUGAACUUUAAAAUUUAAUGCGAGCUAUGAUGAAUAAGAGAGUAGGAAGCUUGAUUUCUAUUCUAAAUCUCUCAAAAUGCAAGUGGUUUCCUGAUCAGGUCCCUGAGGUUUACAAGGAAAUGGAACAUGCUGGAUGCACUCCGGAUAGGAAGGCUAGGCAGAUGUUACAAGUUGCUUUAAUGGUCCUUCAACAGAGGAAUUGUGAGUAGUAGUGAAUGGUUGGGUUGUGAUGCAAUGUGCUUGUUCAAUCUGGUAUGGACACAGGCUAUGAUCCUUUCAGCAGUCAAAAGACGGUGAGUUUUUUUUUUUUUUUUUUUAAUCCUCUCUCUCGUGAAUUUUGUUGUUCACUUUACGUAAUCUCAGGUCUUACGUGAUGGCUGUGCCGCUUUUUUACAAACACUUCAAACCAGAUGGGGUGUUAACUUUCGCCACAUUAAAAUGCACAACUGAUAAAGCAGCAAGAGUUGCACUGAUGAACUGUUGUAAUAUGUUGGAAAGACAACAGCUAAGACUAGCCCCUCUGGUUUAGCGGUUGGAAACAUGGGCAACAGAGCAAGGAAGUGCAACACAAACUCUCACUUCAAAGCACGAGUCAUUUUCGUGGGCUAUCAACUUGGUGCCUGCCUAUGCAGGGCAGCAUUGGUUACGAUGUUAGAAACUUGAUGAUAUAGCUUGUGCUGCAACUCAAACAGGCGCGUUUCCAUACACCGUAGCCGAAUGUAGUGGAACAAUUGGCAUUUCAGAGUGCCAGUUUUUAGUGCUGCUGCCAUACGGGGUACACCGUAGCCGAAUGAAUUAAUUACACUUAUCAUCUCAUCUCAUGUGGUUUGACUCACGUGAAUGUCAAUGAUGAUAUAUAUUUGUGAUAAGUUGGAUAUUUAUUAAAAUUAUUUGAGGAAUUCAUCAACUGAAGCUCUUUGUGUAUUACAUAGUACAUUAGCGUCCUGACAAAUUGUAAGUUUCGCGUAACAUAUGGUUUCAAACUAUUCGGUUUCGGUCCCAUCUACAAUUAAGUUCUUCGAGAAAUCAGAGAUAAUUCCAGUAAGACCAUUGUUUCAAAAAAUACCCUUAUUUGCCUGCAAGGGGGAGACAGUGACAGAUGUUUUUAUCAACAUUAAACUAGUUUUGCGGUUAACUUCAACGACAUUCUCACAUUUACAAAUGUGGCAUCCGAAUGAGAUAAAGAGAAAACGCUAUCACAUAUCAACUUAUUAUUUCCAAGAACUAUACUGGAGCCUAAAAUAGCUUCAGCAAUUGGACUGAUAAGAGUUUCGUAGAGAAACAGAUUUAUUCAGAACCGCAGGAGCUGCUCGGCUGCUUUCUUGAACUCAAUCAAUUCUACUGAUGAACGUGAAAUCAUCACUGUCAACCAAACUUUAAGUUGAGAUUGCAAUUCAAGAACAAAAUACAUUUCAGAGUCCUAGGAUACACACAGAGCGUUACCCUUAUAUGUUUUCUCACACUUUGUUUCAAAUCAAAAUUCGAAAAGUCUGCUUCUUCUAAUAGCUAUUCAAUAUGGAUGUUAACUUGAUAAAUCCUAAAUUCAAAUGAAAAAUUAAGAAUUAGCUGAUAGAUUGAUAAAUCCUCUAUGUCCCUCAUCUCUUGUACGAAUAUGACCAUAGAAACAUUGACUAUAUAAAUAUCAGAGUCAAACAUAAAGCAAGAAAUUGAUCUGAGGAUCAAAGAGAUAACUAAUUUUUCAGUAAUCAAAGAUAUAAACACUCAAUCAGUAAUCUAACCGUCUGCAUAUAUUCGAAUUUAUUAUACAUAAUGAGUAUAGCCGUAUACCAGUUAAAUAUUUGAAUUUAUAUAAUUCAAGCCUAUAGCCGCACGACUAUACUGUUUAAAUAUAUUCGAAUUUAUUAUACGUAUUGAGUAUAGCCGGGCGGCUAUACCCUUAAAAUAUUCGAAUUUAUUAUAAUUCAAGAGCAUAGCCGCCAUUUAAAUAUAUUAGAAUUUAUUAUAUGUAAUGAGUAUAGCCGUGCGGCUAUACUAUUUAAAUAUUCGAAAUUAUUAUUUCCAACGAGUAUGGCCGCCCGGCUAUACCCUUUAAAUAUAUUGGAAUUUAUUAUAUGUAAUGGGUAUAGCCGAGCGGCUAUACUGUUUAAAUAUUUGAAUUUAUUUUUGUUUAACUAGUAUAGCCGGUCGGCUAUACCCUGUAAAUAUAUUCGAAUUUAUUAUACGUAAUGAGUAUAGCCGUCUGGCGAUACCCUUUAAAUAUUCGAAUUUAUUAUUAUUCGAUAGUAUAGCCGCGCGGCUAUACUAUAUAAAUAUAUAUUUUUUCCCUUCCUUUUGUAUUUGAGUGUGAUUGUGUAGUAGUUGUGAGUUAAGUCUCUUUCCCUCUCCCAUAUAUAUUUCUCGAACUCUACACCUAGAAGAAACUAGGAAGGAGAGUUAUGUUUUUGUUGGGGGGUUAAAAAGAGUAAAUACGAGCAAGACUUUUUUUUAGGACAUGGAAAAUUAGAUUCAAAACGCAUUCAUGGAGUGGCCUAACACUUUGGAACACUAAAGUCAAAAAGAGUGACUGAGCAAUAUAAUAGUUGGAAAUCAUUAGAAUGGAAGGUAUCAUAAAGAAUUUAAAUUCUCAUUCCCCAAUAUUGCAUGUAUACAUUAAAAAAAUUGAAGAAAUAACUCAAACAUAUAUUUUCAAGAAAACUAAAUGCAACUUUCAAGCUAUAUGCAUUUUUCCACAUGUUUUUUUUUUUUUUCCCUCUUUCCAUAUUUUAUAUGCAUGUUCCUAUUAAAAAAUUGAGGAAUGGAACUCAAUGGAUUACCUUUGGUUGAAUGUCCUUAUGCUGAAUUGUAUCUUCGGGGCCUGGUUUUGAAAUUGAAGCCCUAGUGGCCUUUGAGCCAUCCGCUCUGCAAAAUAUUCAUAUAACUUGUAAUUACUUAGAUAAAUCCAACAGUUAGGAAGGGAUUAAAGGUCAUGCAUGCUUUUUUGUGGACAAAAAGUAUCCAUUCACAAAAAUUCCAACGAACACCAUAUCAUUAUCAAUACUGUAUAGAAGAAGAAAAAGAAAAAGAAAAGCCAUGAACAGGAAGGUGCUAUGACUGAGUCGGCGUCAUUAUUAGCCAAGGCCUCGAUCGAUUCGAAGAUCAGUAUAAUUAUCUUCGAAUUUUAAAUUAUGAUUAUCUGCUUUAAUUUAACGGCAUCUGCGUGCAUGCCAUUGCUUUCUAAAGGGGUGCAAAACUCUUGAUUUACUGAUUUAGUUGGUUUGUUUACAAUCACAGCCGCGUCCCUGUAUAAAUAAAUAAAAAAAUUAAUCGUGCAUGAACUUUCUAAUUUGAUCAGAACACGAUCAUUACUAAUCUUUUGGUUAACUUGUGUUGUGUUACAAAUUUUCCUUUUAUCCUUCAUUUCUUUUUCAUAAGUUCACGUUAGUUUCAUUAAGCUUGGCAUCAACUGAUUCGCAUCCUACUAAAUUUGGAGAGAGAGAGAGAGAGAGAGAGAGAGAGAGAGAGAGAGAGAGAGAGAGAGAGAACAAGUUCAAAGGCAUAUCCAUGUAUCAUAUAGCAAUAUACCGCAGAAACACGGCCCAUAAUAACUAGGACGCACAUAAUUAAGUUGCAUAUAAUAAUAUAACAUACAGUCAACAACAACAACUCAAGCUCUCUGAUUUAUGAUAUAUGAACAUCAACCCACUGCUCUCUGUAUAUAGUAGUUCGCGCGCACACAACACGCAAUAGAAAAUACAAGUACUACUGCAUAGGCAGGGCGUGCACCACGCCUACCUAUAACCCUUAUUUAUAUGAUUAAUCUACAUAUUCAACACUCCCUAUCUAACUGAUUCACCGACUCUCUCUCUCUAUUUUAAUAUCGUAAUAUAUUCCUUUGCAAGGACGGAUAUCUGUAUAUUAUAGAAUAGGAAGGUUGAUUAAUAAUUGUCUUGCCUCAGACUCAGGGAAGGUGAGGCUUCUCCAAGUCCUCGAUGCUGGUAGGGCGGAACCAAGCCUUCUGCUCCAGCACCGAGGCUCCCUCGCCAAUAUCGGCAGGCGAGGAGCCGUCCUUUCCACCUGCGGUAUGAUUAUGUUCAGCUGCAGGCCCAAAUACCCCAGUUUGAGGGUGUGGAGCCCAGUACUUGUCAGGUUGGGGCGGGAUCACAUUGUCUGGCACAAUGCUGGGUUGACUCUGUUCAUCAGGGUUCUUGUCGUAGACUGAGGCGUGAGCGGCCCUCCUGAUCAACACACGCAUAAAUAAACAUAUGCACAUCAAUUAUCUAUCUAGGAACCAAUUAUCAUUAAAUUAAUUAAAACAUACUCACAAACACAUAUAGCAUAAGUUUUAAGUUUUAAGUUAGUUAAACAAAAUAAAGGGUAUAUGAAAUGAACUUUAAUCUACGUAGAUUGCAGUUUAGCUAGCCAUUCAUUCAUAUGCUUGAAAGAGGGGGAGGAGGUAGGGGACAAAACUUUUCCAUCAAACAUGGAGACAAGCUUAAAUUUACCUUCCCUCUCAAAUUAAUAAACCUAGCUACUACUUGUUUUCAUCUUUUGAGACGAUAAGAAAGAAGUAUGGACGGAUGGCCCACUAUCUUUUGUACUCAUUAGCUGCCUACCUUGCAAAUUGGGCAUCAGUUUAUCUUAAAUUAGAUUAGAUUCCCUAAUAGCCAAGCAUAUAUAAAGGGUGAGGAUUUGUCUUAGGGUAGACGUGACUGCCAACCAUGGCGCAAGUUUUAGACGGGUUAGGUGUCACCUAAUAAGAAAAGAAAGAAGAUAUUCAAAGUCCAUCCAAUCCAACGGAGAAGGCGAUGCUACUCACAUGACCAACAACAUGUUAUCUAAUAAAAAAGAUAAUGACUAGAAACCGACCCAACAACUUUUCCAUUCCCCAAAUAAAUAAACUAGUGGAGUGGGCUGCUAUUAUGCAUUUCUCACACUGCACUUCACCGGCCUAUUUUCGUCAUGCAGGCAUGUAUGUAUAUGGGUAUCCUUCCAAGUUCCAUCCAAAAUAUAAAUUAUAAUAAACCAAAUAUCUGACCAAAAAAUAUUUAAAAAAAUCUUUCAUGGUCAAAAUAAACGAAUUCCUGAUAUUAAUGUUAGAAGAAGAUAGCUACCCCAUUACUUUAACAAGUAAAACCAGACCAAUAUGAUACGGUGGAGUCUCACUAUUCCGAUAAUUAUUUAUCAUACGAAACAAACUCAGUCCCACAAAAAAUAAUAAUGAAACCACAAAGAAAAGCUAUAUAUAUUAUAUAUAGAGCAUGAAACAUGCAAGUUUUGAACCCUAGAUCACUUAUUUAGUUCUUAUUUGAAGUUAAUAUACUUAUUUGACAAACAAAAAUAGAAAAAGAAGUUCGAUAUUUCAUUGGGAGAUACCGUGGCCAUGCAUAUGAUAUGAUGAUAUGCAUGUCCAUGGCGGCACUCCACCAGUUUCACAUAUAGGAUGUAAAUUUACACACACACAAAAAAGGAACAAGACACAUAAACGAAAACACCAAUCGUUAUUAACUUAUUAUUACCAAAACAAAAGUUAAAAAAAAAAUUCCUUAUCUUUUAUUUUUUAAUUUAUUAAGUACAUCUAUGAUACGGUGGACAAUCGUCCAAUAAGAAACGUAGUCAGCACAGCAGUCUGUCCUUAUCCAUACGAUCCACAACUACUGAGUACGGCAAUGAAGCCCUCUCGGUACGAAAAAGCAGAUAAAUAUUAUUCAGCAUUUUGUUUUUCAAUUUGUAAUUUUCAUUUAAGUCACAAAAGCAGAAAUUAUUCGAUGAAAUGGAAAUGGAAAUUCAAAAUCUAAGCUCUACUCUGCAUCAAUGUCUACAGAAAUGAGAAUAAGGUGGCACUAAAAAGAAAGCAAAGAAUUUAAAACAGAGAAAGCAAUUCUUUCACAGGAAUCUCUCUCACACACACACACACCUCUGUCAUAAAUAAAUAAAAAAGAAGGAAUGGAUCUCCACAAGUGAUUCAGAUUCAGAAUAGUCGCGCAUAAUUAAUUAUAGUAAUAUAGACAAGAAAAUAAAUUUCAACUAUUUUAUUUUUCUUCGUUCGGUAUUCAGAUCAUAAAUUGAAAAACUCCAAAGAAUUAGGCCAAACUCUAAGACCAUCAAACAACUCAGAUCGCAACUUUUUUCUCUAACAUCAAAUAAAAUUAUUAACAAUCCAAACUGAUCACAUAAUCAAUAGCAAGCAAUAUGCUCAACGACUUUCCCGCAGAUUUUCCAAACAAAAAUGAAGAAUAGUCUCAUCAAAAGUAAUUCCUAGAAAAAUUAUACCAGUAAAACACGAAGAAACUCAAAUCAAGUACCUGAGAGUGAGAGCAGAGAGCUGAGUUGAAUCGCGCGCUCGGAUCUCGUUGACGACUCGCUUCCCUAAGCUCACGAUCCCUCGACUGCUCGAAUUGGCGGCCAUACAAAUAAGACUAAGCUCAAGUUUACAAAGAUAAAGAGUGUGUGUGAAGGUAGAGAGAGAAGCUUAUAAAACGAGGGAAUAACCGAUCGUUGGCUUUUUUCUGUAAUGACAAGAGUUGUUUGAUGACUCAGUGUUUAUAUAGACACAGAAAUAAAGAGAGGAUAGCGUCUGAUUCUUUCUUUUCACGCCUCACCUGCCCCAGCAGAGAGACUCGUUUCUUUUGGACCGCACCUACCCGUCCGUCCCGUACUAUUUGCUAGUACAAAGCGGUGUCGUUUUUCUUUUGAUGGAAUAUUCUCGUUCCAAUCCUUUAACGGCGUCUUUGGAGGCGUUUGUUACUUGUUAUUCGGUGGGUCGGUGAGUGGGUGUUUGACUCUCCAGGGUCCGUUAGCCGUUUGUUGACUCUCCAGGGUCCGUCAGUCGUUUGUUGACAUGUGCAAACUUUCUCUUCGUCAUUUAAUUAUAAUUUUAAUAGUCUCUCUGCACGCGUUUUCGCGCUUGUAAGAGGUUUUUUUUAAAAAAUAAGUAAAUUUAUUUUAAAAUUAAAAAAAAUAAUAGGUAGUUGUGUUUCAUAAAAAUAGGAUCCAUUAUCUGCUUUUUCUUUUUCUUUUAAUUUUUUUAAAUAUGAAAAAGUGUGAAUUUAUCAUAUUAUCCUCAUUUAAUUAAUAAUUUGAAUUCUUAAUGUUUGCAUUAACCAAUAACAUUUUCUGGUAUUUUGAAUGUUUCACCAUUCUCUGCCUUUUGCUUUAUAUAUAUAAAUUAACUAUAUUAAAACGGAAGGACACGUACUAUUCUUUGGCUGAAAUAGAAUCUUUUGUUUUUAUUUUGGUAAAGUUUUGUUCACAUCGAUCUCUUAAGUUUUUUUAAAUCAAAUCUAUCUCUUAAGUUUAAGUUUCAUAAAUAUUUUUACCUAAUUAAAAAUAAAGAGUCUUGAAUUAACAAUUCAAGACCUUUUUUAUGCUAAAGGGGAACUCGAAUAUUCCGUUGUGUUUGGGCAAACAUGGAGCCAUAACCCAAUUGUUGUUAUUAAAAUAAGGUAGAGAUUGGACCCUUUUUUUUUUAGGCCGAUGGAGGGUAACCUAGUUGGUUUGGUGCUCAACUCCCACCCAGGAUUGGCGUCUAGUGUGUAGAAAAGCUCCCCCUCCACGUGGUGUGGUCGUUGCUUCGAUUUCAACAGAUAUUGUCAAAAAUUUUAUAUCCAAAAAUGAAUGAUCACUAUUAAACUCAACUUAGAAGUAAUUCUGCCUUCGAUCUUAUAGAUCCUUCGACAGAAGAAAGAGUGAUCUGCAAGGAGAAGGGAAAUAAAUAUUAUUCACACAAAUAAUGUUAUGUUAGCAUGAAUCUCGGUUUCGAAUAUGGGUAGAUAUUGUAUUUUUCUUAUUUGUCUACAAGAAAAAACUAACAAAUAUUAUUCACACAAAUCCCCCUUCCGAUUCAAAUGAUUGUACAUGUAAUAAAUAAAUAAAUAUAUAUAUAUAUAUAUAUAUAUGGAAGGACUAAAGACAAAACAACAAUUACGUGGAGAAAAUAUUUUUGUUUGGAUAUUUCUCUACUAAUACUAAGAUAUGUUUAACUUAUAUUAAAUAUGUGCUACAAGAGAAAAAUGUGCGGGGAGUGUUAAUUAAUAUAAUUGUGUAGAGUAAGAAAGGUUGUUUGGAGUAUCAUCAUGAGGAACAUGUGUAGUCUUUGUUUAUUAUUAAAAUUUUGGUAUAGGUAUACCAACAAUGUGUGAAGAGGCAGGUUAUGCUAAAUGCUCGAAUGUGUAAAAUGAAUGAGUGGUAUUAUUGGUCGCUGGUGGUUACUUAGAAAAUUAAUUGCGCCAACCAACAGAGUCUAAUUAGAUUCAAAUGUCUUAACUGACCAAAAAUAUGAGGCCUAUAGAAUGGAGAGGGUCCAUUUCAAUUCAUUUCAAUUAAAGCAAGAAAUACCAUUCACGAUUCGACCGCGAAAGAGAGGAUGAUGCCUGAGUGCGUGGUAGGCCAGGCUUGGCUAAGCAUUCCACCCGCUUAUAAAAGUACUGCUGGGCCGGCUUGAACCCUUUUGGGCCAACCAGCCCAUUUUUGAACAAUGCUGCUGCUGCACCUGCAUCUCAAAAGAAAAGUAUUAUUGCUACUCAUAAUUUGUGGCUGGCUAGCCGUUAAAACUCAAAGCCGAUCGUGUGGCUAUUUGUCAACCAAUCAAAGUUUAUCUGGCCCUCUGCAACACUGUGUGCCUCAGCAAACAGCAAACAAGACCUUAAAGAAUACAAGAACAGAGGGCGUGUGGUUGCCUCUCACUCUCUCACUCUCUCCAGCUUAUCUGUGUGAUCUGGUCGUACGCUUUAGAGUUUGGUAGUAGCAGCAAACAUGUCACAAGCGGUGGUUGCUGCAGCUGCCUCCUCCUCCUCUUCUUGCUCUGCCACCUUCACCAGGCACCAGUACCACCACUCCAUCAAAACUCCACAGCUUCUUACAAGUCCAAAACUUUUGCCAUCAAAUCAAUGCCAGGUACGUACCCAAUUGUAUCUACUAAUGCCCAAAAUAUCACUUGCCCUUCUUCCGGAACCUGUCUUUUAAGGAUUGCUCUCUCUCUCUCUCUCUCUCUCUAGAAAAGUAGCUUCCAAGGCUUGUCACUUGGAGAAGCCAAAAGGGGUGUCUUUGGUUCUUUCGUAGCUGUAGCUGAGGCUGAGAAGAGGAGUAACGCAAGAACAAGAACAGGGCUUGGGAUUAUUACAGCAAAAACUGCCGGGGCUUCAAAGACAAUUGAGGCUGAGGUUGACAAGCCAUUAGGCCUCACUUUGGGUCAAAAGCCUGGAGGUGGUGUUACCAUCACUGUAAGAUUCUUCAAUCAAUUGCAAUUUGCUUUAAUAUUUUAUUAUGUUAAUUAAUGUAGCAGGUGCAGUACCAAGCAGGGAAGCAAAAUGAUCUAAUUUCAAUGAGCUUUCUAUAAAAUUAAUUCCACACCAAUAUAUUAUAUAUGUCGUUGAUUUAGGCCGUGGAUGGAGGUGGGAAUGCAGCAAAGGCAGGGCUCAAGGCAGGGGACCAGGUCCUCUACACUAGCAGCUUCUUUGGCGAUGAAUUAUGGCCGGCAGAUAAGCUGGGAUUUACAAAAACUGCCGUCCAAGCUAAGCCAGACUCUGUUUACUUUGUUGUUAGCAGGUUCUCUUUCAAUCACUUGUUUUAGAUUGCAAAUUUAAGAAAUAUAUAAUACCAAAACACAAGUUGCAAACUGAUUUCUGAUCUUUUUUAAUGCAGGGGUGGUGCUUCUGUAGAUGUUAAACGACUGCCAAAGCGUCCGGCUCCUCCUCGCUUUGGAAGGAAACUAACUGAGGCUCAAAAGGCAAGCAUCAAUCCAUUCCCUUCCCUUCCCUAUAAACUCUCAUAAGCUUCUGUUACUUUCCACAUUGAAUUUGGUGCGCCAUUGACCAUUUUCAGGCUAGAGCUACUCAUAUAUGCAUUGACUGUGGAUUCAUAUACACAUUACAGAAGCCUUUUGAAGAGCAGGUAAUUGGACAAGUGUGCUUUUGAUGUGCAUAAGCUAUCUUCUUAAUCUUAUAUUAAUAAAAUGCAAUGCAAUGCCAAUGCAGCCGGAUGCAUACGUAUGCCCUCAAUGCAGAGCACCAAAGAAGAGGUUCGCACGAUACGACGUGAACACCGGAAAAGCAAUUGGUGGUGGUUUGCCUCCGAUUGGUGUCAUCAUUGGCCUUCUGGCUGGUCUUGCCGGGGUUGGAGCAUUGCUUGUAUACGGUCUUCAAUGAAAACAUUCUUAAUUCCUCCUCCUGUUUAGUUAUACCACUACUAGUACGUUUAAAAUUAUACUGCCCCCUCAGUCCUCAGAUCAUGCAUCAAUUAUUGCAACAGUGUAAUUUCCUCUAAAAACCAUAUGGAAUUGGUUCAAUAGCAUCACUGGGUUAAAAUAAAUUUGGUUCACAGAAGUACAUAUAUGGGAUAAGCCAAAAACAAAAACCAUGUUCGUUGGCCACCAUCCUUGUGUGAUAGGGCUGUGAGAAGAGAUUCGUUGGGCAUGGGUUGCGGGUUGCGAGAAGAGAUGGAGAGCAAAGGGUGGAGAGCAACUGUAUAUCUUAUAUUUUUUUCUUGCAGGUGGCAGUGGAAAAGAAAAAAACAGAGGGAGAAUGAGAGGACAGGGAGAAGAGAUAGAGAGCAAAGGGUGGAGAGCGAGGGCAGAGGGGGGAGAGACGGAGUAAUAAGGAAGGGGGAUGAAAAGUUGCAGAAAAAAAAAAAAAAAAGGAAUUUUCAUUAAAAAAUUAAAAAAAUAUUUUUUUUUAUCUACAUGUCACAAUGUAAUUGGACAAAUGGGCUCCACUUAUUUUUCAUGUCACACUUAACAGAAUUUAUAACGGCAGAAACCAUUUGUAAUAAAAUACACAAACGUUAAGGGCUAUUAGUGUUACAAAAAAAUCUCAAGGACCAUUCGUGAUAAUUUCAUAAAUAUAAAGGACCAUUUGUGAUAAAAAACCAGUUGAUUAUUAUACAGUACUACAACUAGUCCGCCUACGCAUGUUAUGACAUUUCCAGGAACCAUUACGAAUGGCGACUGAGAAGAGGAACGUUUGGUUGGGGUUGGAAACACAAAACGGACAAUUGCAAAGAACAGACGUUUUGUUCCGAUCUUUUCACAAAAAAGUUGAAAAACCUUCUUCUCUUUUUUUUAAAAAAAUUUAUUAUUAUUAUUAUUUUCUGUCUAAUUGGGCUUUUGUCAUUUAUUAUCUUGGGCCUUCUGUUUGUUUGAUCUGUUGUUGGGCUCCCUUUUGUACUUAAAAAUGGAGAACCAUUUUUAUUAAACGUAAAAUUGACAGAUUUUGACAAUAGUAUCAAUUUGAUAUUAAAUGGAAAGUUGGAGGACUAUUGAAAUGAAAAUUUUAGUUAGUGAAUUAAAAUGAGACUGGAGCAAAAAUGAAGGGAUCAUUUCGGUCAAUAACCCUAAAAGAAAAAGGAAAUAUUUUUGCUCACCACUUUAACCCUAAUGUGUACCCGAACCACCAUUCUCAACACUUGACAUGUAUCCAUUAGCAUAACCAUAGUUAACUCUUUACUUUAUAUUUAUAGAACCAUGAUUAUGUCAAUAAACACGUGUCAAGUGUUGAGAAUGGUGGUGAGAGUACACCUUGAGUUAAAGUGGUGAGCAAAAAUACUCCCAAACCUUGUAAUCGAAGAUAGUUAUAAAAAGUUAUAACCUUUUUUUUUGGGCAUCUUUUUUGGCGCUUUUUUACCUGUUCCAUUCCAGUCGAGUAGUGCCCUCUGGGCUCCUCAUCUUUGGACAUCAUAAUUCACGCAACUCACCACAGUACUUCACCAACUUUACGUAUUCUCUUCUUCAGAGUUGACACAAUCGAAAUCUACGCCCAACCCAAAUAGAGAGUAGGGAGCUUCUUUUUAGCUGAGAUAGAGAGAUGGAGAGAAAGGUACUGCUGGUUUGCUGCGCAGUGGGUCUCUUGGGGCUAUUAUCAGCUGCUACAGGUUUUGGUGCUGAGGUAACAAGAAUCAAGGUAAAUCGAAAAAGAUUAAGUGGGUUUUGCUUAGAUCUUCUUGUCCUUUUUUCAUAUGGGUUGGUUCAAAUUUGUUUCCUUUCUGCUUAUACACUAAUCUAACCCUGCGUUUUGGUUGCUCUGAAAUAAGGAAAGUGAAAGAGGAAUCUUCAGUUUUGUUGUAAUAUUCCAAAAUAGGCCAUGAAAUUGUAUUAGUAUGGUGGACUGAAAGCUUAGGGUGAAAAUUCCCAAGCUUGGCGCUUCAAUUUUUCCUUUGCUUCGACCAAACUGAGAAUAAUUUGGAUUAUUUCUUUUAUUUUCCGCAAAUUUCCUCUUUCUUGUUAUUUUUCUUGUUCCUACUGCUUCUGCUUGAAAUUCCUGUUCGAAAGCUGAAACCUUUUUUUUCCGUAUAUUUUUAUUUGGCACCCGAACCCAGCUCUCCUAUUUAGUUUAGCUUCAUAAAUGGCUUCUUCUUUGACUGACUUCAACGCUUCCUACCCCUUUCUAGAAGACUGCCAGACUGGAAAUUAAUAUCAUAUUUGGUGUUGACUUUGAAUGUCUCUGGUUAAACUUCCAAACUUCAGCUCUUUUAUUCGCUUUCAAUGCUUCUACUUUUGCGGGUUCCAAAAUGAGGGUGCGGAAACUCGCUAGUAUAGUUUGCCAAAGCAAUUUUGCCUGUUGUUCACUGCAUUAGAACGUGUUUUGAAAGUGCCUUAAUGUUUUACAACUUGAUUAAAAAUCUCGUGUUAUCUUCUACGCGCUAUCCUUUCAUCUUAAUCUUUAUCUUUUUGAACAAAUAACUCAUCUUAACCUUCAAUGCCAAAAGAGCAGUGUUUGUGUAAGAAUCUCAGAUAGAGAUUAAGGGAGAGAGUAUGUCUUCCCUCUCCAUCUGGCAGUUAUUGUUGGACCUCAAUUUGUUAGAUAUUCUCACAAGUUGUCAUUUUUGGAGGGAUUGUUUAAAACCUUUGAACAAGUUGUCUCUGAUGUUGGGUUUAGUUUUUCCCCAGUUUUUGUUGACACUCAGUAUGUAGUGGAAACGAUGCUGGAAAUGAUCUGUUACUUUGUUUCAUAACCCUACUACUUUGUUUCAUAACCCUACAGGGUUCUCAGGUUCGGUUUGUCUCCGUUACUCAAUGUGAAUAUCCUCGGAGUCCAGCUCUUGGUCUUGGUGUAACUGCUGCAGUGGCUCUUAUGCUAGCUCAAAUAAUUUUAAAUGUUUCAACGGGCUGCAUUUGUUGCAAGAGGAGCCCCCAGCCUUCCAACUCUAACUGGACAGUAGCCUUGUUCUGCUUUGUUGUUUCCUGGUAAUUCUCAACUGAAACUUGGUGAAUGGUGAAUCGACGGUAGAACACUUCUUAUCGUCUGAUACUUUUAUUAUAAUCAUUUAUGAUAUUAUACUUUCGUGAGGAAAUGACUUGGGCUGCUAAUCCAAAAGCAUGCUUGGUUUUGACAGUUUGGCCUUUGUCAGGGUGAAAGGUUAAACAAAUCUUGCCAGUUUCUUAAUGUUGUACAGUUUAAAAAGAAAAUACCAAUACUUCUUUUCUCCUCUUAUUUUGGGUGCAUCUAACUGUUUAAGUUGAGUUGGCUUUGAAAUUUUUCUGUCUGUUUAAAAUGGAUUAACAAUGGAUGUGCUUCACUCCAUACUCCACAUUCCACACUGGUGCAGGUUCACGUUUGUUAUAGCAUUUCUUCUGCUGCUCACUGGUGCUACACUCAAUGAUCGGCAUGGUGUAGAAAGCAUGUACUUUGGCAACUACUACUGUUAUGUUGUGAAACCUGGAGUGUUUGGUGGAGGUGCCGGUUUGUCACUUGCAAGUGUGGUACUAGGAAUUGUCUACUAUGUCACCUUAAAUUCAGUAAAGGACAGUAACAGUCCAUGGGGCACUUCUGCUCCUCCUAAUCCAGGGGCAAUAGCUAUGGGGCAACCCCAGUUCCCUCCACCGAGUACCACUCAAGAACCAGUAUUCGUCCACGAAGACACAUACAUGAGACGACAAUUCACAUGAUUCGUGGAUAUCUUUGUUCAGUUAUUCCUGUUGCAUCACUGAACUUUUAUGGUAAGAGAGCCUAUGAGCAGUUUUUGAAGAAGUAAUGAUUGCCAUUGUAGGAAAUGGGCAGUUUUCUUCAUGCAGUGUAUAAUCUGUUGGUGGCAUAGCUCUAUAAUCCCUGUUUCGGUUUGUCGUUCCUUAGGAUUGUAUUUGAUUUUGUUUAUACCACACAUUGUGCAAGAAACCGAAUGUGUUUGAAUAGGAGCUGAAUAGAUUAUUUAAACCUAAGGGAAAUGCUUUCUGGUUCAUCCAUGGUAGUAAUCUCUCCAAAAUUUUGAUUGUGGCAUAUUGCAUGGAGGAACUCGAUGGAUUCACAAACUUUGUCCACUCUUGAUCCAGCAUCUUUGAUUUUUUGUUAUGAUUUUGGCAGAAAUAUAUAGACCAAUGGAGAUCUUUCGUAAAAAAUUCAAGAAAUUUUGACAGAAUGGUGGGGGAGGCUUUGAUAGUUCCCUAAACCCGAAAUAUUUUUGCUCACCACUUUAACUCAAGGUGUAUGCUCACCACCCUAGUUAAAGCGGUGAGCAUUCCAACCUCACAUGUUCCAUUCCUCUCUCCCCCCCUCCAAAAAUUAUUGCGUUAACCGACUUUGCCAUUUUUUUUUUCCUUUCUUUUUUUGGUUGUAAAAAACAUCAAUCUUACCGUUUUAACUAUCCAAUUAUUCCUUAUUUUUUUAAAAAAUCUCCAAUUUUUCGAUAACAAGAAAAAAAUCUCCUUCAAUUAAGGGAAAUUUUGAAAAGUCAGAUUAUAGGAUUUUUUUACAAAAAGAAAUUACUAGAUAUGAAUUCAAACUCAGUGGUGCGUUGUAUUUGGAGAAUUUAUAAAAAAUAGCCAAAACUUUCUUUAAUUUCAAAAAUGUCAGUUUUUGUAAAAUAUUUCAAAUAUAGCAAAAAAUUCACUUAAAUAGACACAAAUGCCCUCAAAUUUAAAACCCAUAUAAACCUAAAAAAUAAACCUUAUUAAAUAAAACUUUGGAUUUUUUUUAACCCACGUUUGUACACAAGAACAAAAGUUGAAAUAUAUCAUCCUAUUUAUUGAUAUUUUUAAUCAAUUUAAAUUUAGUCCCAAUCCAAGCAUCACCAAACAUUGGUUAAGUGUUAUUCAACUUAAGCCAAUUCAAGCCAAGACAAUUUCUUAGAAUAGUUCAUGCCAAGACAAUCUUCCGUAACAAACGAGGCUGAAGAGACCAACUUGGCAAACGACUGGAAGACUUGUUGCCAGAUCAAUUGCCCAAGUCUAUCCGAAUGACACCAUUAUUUUGUCUUCUUCGAUGGAUCAAUCCGUUGAGUGUUCCCCUACACACAUAAAUGUUGCACUGGCUUCUCAAAGAAGCUAAUAAGUUUUAAAAUUGGCAGCCCAUCCCACACGUCAUGUUGCCUUAUAAAAGCCACACAACCAUAUUUGUACAAUUUGAGUGACAAAGUCAAAAGAAUUUUCCACAGAAAAGAAUUGAUUUGUAGGCCAAAGAAAAAUCAAAUCAUGUAAGUCAAUGUUCCCAACAUUUUCCACUAAAAAAUUAUAUCCUUGUUGCUGAGCUUGGUUGAA